UAGCGGUCCACGCACGGCCGCGGUGAGCAGCACCGCGCGGCCGCGGCACAGCGCGACGGCCUCCUGGUCGUCGAGCUUGGCAGUGUAUACCGUCCACUAUACUUGCCCCCCAUUAAUGGCAAAUCAGUCAUUGUUCCUGUGGGAUCUCUAGCUAUAGCUGCCUUUGCAUUUGGGACUGCCUCCAGUUGGCCAAGAAAACUGUGGAAUUUGUCAUCUGUUUAAUCCCUAUUUGUGUCUGCAAUUCGUUGAUCUGUUCUGUACUUUUCAUUACUUUUAAUCGGUUGAAUGAGGGGCAAAUCAUAUGCUGCUGUUAGAUGAGGGGUAAAUUAGUCAUUGUUUGAUGAAAGUCUAAAGUUAGGCUAUGGAUCCAAACAGCCCAGCAGGACUAAAGUUUAGGGGCUAAAGUUUAGCUCAUGGACUAUUGAUCUAAACACCACCUUAGUUUAGGAUGGAGGGAGUACAUCUUAUAACGUUUUCCAUUGAAAAGAGCGUAGUCAUUACAGUAUUUCCACUGUCUAUAAUAAAGAAAGUGGUGGUAUCAUAUUAUUUACGUAAUAAAGAUAUAGGUGUUAAUUUUAUACAGAAUUACAUAUUUUGUUUUUUAACUACAAUACUUUUUUUCUUGGAGCUUGCUGUGGACAAACAUAGUGAAACGGAAUACAGUAGUGUUAAAAUACACAUUUUGGAAACCGUGUAAAUGUAUAGUGUGGAUGUUAUGCUACAACGAGCACUUGGGUUUUUGUGUUCAUUCAGAAUUUAAGGCUUGAGAUGGGAACUUAGGGCUGUUUGUUUGCCCUCUAGAUUAUAUAAUCUGUUGUGGGCAACAAACAACUCAGAAUAUUGUGCAGAUUAUAAUUACACCCCUAGAUUACCAUAAUCUUGCUGCUCAAGAGAAGCUUAUUUCAGUUUAUUUCUAGACCAACCAUCUACACCUCCAAUAAUCUGGGCAAACAAACAACCCUACAGAGAUUAUAUAAUCUAGGACCAGUAAUAAUCUGGCACCAAUAAGCUGGAUUAUAUAAUCGGGCAAGGGAAUAAACAGGGCCUUAUUAACGUGUAUGUCCUAUGGUCUAUCGUCACAGCUAUCGAGCUUACUAAAAGUUCAUCAGGACUUUUUUUUAAAGAAAAAAGGUCCAAGAAUCAAGACCCGCGUGGCAUUGAAAAAUUCAUACCUCUAGUUUAUCUUCUUUCGCCCUGUGGUUCUUUGGAAGCCUGCGGAAAUCCUCAGUUAAGCUAAGACAUUGCUGAAUGUUCUCUGGAGAUACAAAGUCCAGAGCAAUCUUGGUGCAAGACUGCAUAGGUAAAAGUAUUACACAUUCAGAUGCAGAACAUGUCAAACUUGAGUAGUCCUCAUCUAUAGCAUUUGAAACUGGGUAUUGGAAGAGCGCAUUGGCAAAUUUACCUUGAGAUUCCGUACUUGAUGAGGACACCCAGCAGGUAUAAAAACCGCCUCUCCAAGUCUUUGUACAAACGUCCAUGGUUCGAUUCCUACAACAGCAUAUCAAAACUUUUAGCACUGAGCACUGUAACUAUUCGCACUGAAGGAUUUUUGUAAAAAUAUAUAAAUAGAUAAUGCAACUCACCAUACUCCUCUUUGAGCUUCCUCUUGUGUUUGUUUGUUAGAUAAAAUGUUUCAUCAUGCACAGGGUUAAAAGUCUGCAUUAAAAGCAACUGUCACAAAGUGAUAAACAACUAUUUGUCUGCACAAGCUCAUUUGGAGAUCACACUGAAACUAACCUUUUCAACUGGAGAACAGUACAUAUGGCGAAAUUCUUUGGAAUGUUUCGUGAGGUAUUCUUUUAGUUUUCCAACAUCCUCCCUCCUGAAAAUAUCCCAUAAUGCACCUCCCCCAUCAUCUGCACAGUAAAUUGGGGAUGUAUCUGCAUGCUCCAUGCUUGUAUCAUUUCCAUCUGUUGCUACCUUCUCCUUUUUAUCCUGUUCUGUAUGCCUUAUUUUCAAGUUUCUUAUCUCCCGUUUCUGUUCUUCAGAGGGCUCAACCUUAAAAGUAUGCAUCAAAACAUUGACCUGACAUAAGAAAUAACAAGAAUUAAUGGAAACAAGUUUAAAGCGAGAUACUAAGCAUUCUCUAUUGGGGUAUUAAUUGGCUUAAAAAAUCCAUCGAUGCAAGCCAACAUUAAAAGGGGGGAAAAGUUCUAUCAUGUAGGUAAGGAUGAAGCUCUCUCUUCAUGCAGACACCUCGCUUAAACAGAGAAAAAAACCAUUCAAGGACUUGAUGAACACAGUCCAGUAUGAUAUAACUAUGUCCAAUGAAUUGGUGUAAAUCGUUCUCAAUCCAAUAGUGUAAUUAUUUACUUACCGCAUCAGACAAGUCACAAUGAAGCUUUGUAACAGAAUCUCCUCUGCUGAGUUCCUGUGCACAGCCAUAAGCUAUAUAUGAUUUUGGGCCCAUGUCAAGCUUUAAGAUGUCACCAGGAAGCAAUGCAGAGAUAUUUAGCAAGCCAGAUUUCAAAUUUGUGUAUGGUUGAAAUGGCAAGGAAUUGAUGUAUUUCCUUCCAUGGGAAGGCAAAAUAUUUUCAAAGUGGUUUGAAGUUGGCCAGUCCUUUAAUUUAAGCAUUUCAGGCCAAAGAUUGCGAUACAUCCGACCUUCAUAAUACCCUUCGAAAAAGUCCUUGGUGCAUAUCUCGACCUGCAUAUAUAUAGAUAUAUAUAUAAAAGUAAUCCACUGGUUGGAGUCUUUUGGUCCACUAAGUCAAAAUCCAUUUGAAGGAUAAAACUCUAUCCAACUCACCCACAACACAAACCCACUCCUUAGCACCAGCAAUUUUAGCCUUCAUUAUCAGAUUUCAGAUAGAAAAGUUCUAAGUAGAAUACAAACAUGAUUGGAUAUUUAUACCUAGUUGACCUAGUCAGGUGAUCAUACAAACACCUAUAGUUUUGUUUGGUAAACAGAUAUGGAUAUCUCGAUAUAUGCCAUGGCAAAACGAAACGAAGUAACAGCUGUGUAAAUGCUAGUUAGUUUCGUAUAAACCACAGGUUACAACAUUAUAACAGAAUAAUUUAUGUAGCAUUGAUUUGCAGUUGGAGGAAUGUAUUGCACUAACCUCACAGCAAGAUAGACAGUCAGUGGCUUUCACUUUUUUCAUCUCAGAACUAGAAUUGGUGCCAUGUAUUUCAGACCACAUAGCUGGUGGCUCCCAGCUAAAAUGAGACAUUUUCUUGAGUACCCCUUGCACAAUUACAGGUUCUCCUUUCACCCAAUGUUUCUGGAAGUGCUUGAGAUCAUCUGGCUUCCCGCCAUCUGAUAUUGGACAGUAUAUGCAGUUAUCGGCUGACUUUUCUCUGGUGGCAGCUUUCCUUGAACUUUCAUGAUUAGCUGAACAUGAGCAUUCACAUGUAUCUGUACUGAUGAUAUCAGGUUGUAACUGCUUGCUCAUUUGCAAAGCCGCCAUUUCAAGCUUACUUAACCUAUCUUUUUCAAAAAAUUGUCUCAACUCAAGAACAUGGUUGCCACACCCACCAAGUUCAGAUGGAGGGCAAUGAAUGGUUCCGUCAGGAUCAGCUUCCCACUUGACAGACUCAGAUUGGUGACUAGGCAAACCUGUUUCUUCGUUAUUGAUUAACUUGGAAUCAGGUGGUGGAUCAGGAUCACCACCAUGCACACACCCACCAAGUUCAGAUGAAGGGCCAUGAAUGGUUCCAUCAGGAUCAGCUUCCCACUUGAUAGACUCAGAUUGUUGACUAGACAAACCUGUUUUCUUGUUAUUGAUUAAAUUGGAAUCGGACAAUGGGUCAGGAUCACCACCAUGCAUAUAGUCGUUGCCGCGCCCACCAAGUUCAGAUGGAGGGCAAUGAAUGGUUCCAUCAGGAUCAGCUUCCUGCUUGAUAGACUCAGAUUGGUGACUAGGCAAACCUGUUUCUUUGAUUAAGUUGGAAUUUGGCGAUGGACCAAGAUCACCACCAUGCAUAUAGUCAGGUCCUCUUUCAGGAUAAUCUACCGGUGCCUCCUGGCAAGAACCCUCAAGAUGGCAUUCACGAAGCUCCUUACAACAGACGAUGCAUAAAUCGUACAUGCAGUCUGGGCAGCUUCUAUGUAGAUCAAAUAUUGAUGUUCUGCAAUUGUCACUGGUUCACAGAAACAGAUUUUAGACAUAUAGGACCAAAAAUCACAAGCAAAAAUGAAACAUUACUCAACAAUUGUCAGCAUCCAGUACCAGAACACCCUCUCAUCCCUCCGGAUUUCAGCUUGCUCGACAAUCAAUUCUGACAAUUCCAAUCCUGUUUGGGGGAAAUGAGGGGGUGACAUUAAAAAAACAGUUGAAAGCCACAUGAAGCUAGUAAGUUAUUCCAUAGGAAUCUAUUUUACCUUGAAUUCUGGCCUCCACUUCUUUUUCUUCCAUCUGAUCCUUGCUGAGUUGUGUCAAACAUGGCAACAGAUAGUGCAACAGGUAGCUGGCAUAUUUACGUUUUGUUUCAGGAGCAUCAGUGCUCACAUCUGACGUAUCCACCUCAUCCAACAUGGCAGAUGCAUUAUUCAUCAUAUUUGUCCUCACAAUGGAGUGGUCAAUUCCUUUAGUCUGCCGUGCUGCACUAGGAAUCCUGUGCGACUCCACACAUGCAGAAAUGGGCCUUUUCUUCCUUGUAGUUGAUCCAAUGCUAUUGCAUUUCUUCAAAACCAAGCUCUAAUAUAGGAGAAAGUAAACAUUCUCAGAAAUCAGCAAACUGUCAUGAUUUGGGAAUUUGAGAUUUCUUAUCAACGACUCACUUAUGACUUCAAAUAAAUUAUGUAAGCCAAACUCUACAAACAAUUUUGCCCACUAUCAGUGAAAAAGGAUUAUCACCAUGUAACAGAAUGGAACAUAAUCCAAAACAUAGCAGUAUAUAGCACAACAAAGAACAAUGCUCUCUAAACAUGGAACCACGAGAAAUUAAGUGUUUAUGACUGGAAAUUUGAGAUUUUUGAAGCAACUACUCGCUUAUGAAUUCACAUAAAUCAUGUAAGUCAAAUUCUACAAAUAACUCUGCCUAGUACCAGUAACAAAGAGCUCAUUAUCAAAAUGUAAUCAAACGGAACACACCCCCACGACAUGUCAAAAAAGAAAAGAAAAAUGCUCUACAAACAAGAAGCCAGAAGAAAUUCAGAAAUUUAAUUGCUUCAAAUCAUGCGGAAUUGCUGGUGUGUGCAUGUACAAGGGUGGCGAGCUCAAAAGGCACAGGAUGAUCACCUCGGGCCCAACUUGUUUAUCCUUGCAGCUCGUACAGUUGCAGACUCCGCGGCAGGAGGGGCACCGCUCCCUUACCUCGGCGUCUGACAUCGUUGGGUACCUGCAGAAUCACAAGGUUCCCUGACGAUUCCCAAAAGGAGUAGGAGGACAGAACGAUGCGUGGUAUCGAUGGGGAGCAGCAGCAUUACCUCUUCCUGACGCAGGGGACGCAGUAGAUCCUCUGUUCGCACAUCUCGCACCUGAUCAUGUCCUUGGGGCUCUGCGUCGCCCUCUUGCACCGGUGGCACGACCUCCUGACCCUCCCGCCGGCCUGCUUCCUCCCGGCGCCGCCUGUGCCACUGGUGCUCGGCGCCACGUACUCCCCAUCUUCCUCCGGCGCCGCAGCCGCAGCAGCAGCAUUGACACCCUCCUCCGGCGAAGGCUCUCCGGUGCCCCGCGGCGGCGCGCCCUGCCCGGACGGCCGGCGCUCGGUCGCCGCAGCGGCACGCCGGCGCUUGGGACCCGGCCCCACGCCCGGGCGGCGCCCCCGCGGCGCCGUCCUCUUCCGUUUGCCCCUGCUGCUCUUCCUCUCCUGCUCGACACCCCAGUCCUCGUCCUUGCCGUCCUUCCCCUCCUCCUUCUCCUCCCCCAUCCCCCCUCGCCUCUCCUCGCCCUCCUCAUCCACCGCGCCCAUCCGCCAUCCUCCCACCGGCCCCAUCCGGAGCCCCACCGUUGUCAUGGCGGGACACGGCGGCGACUGGACGGCCGAUCGGUAGGGGGCCGUCGGGGAAUCGACGGAUUGAUUGACGCCGGGCGGAGCAGAAUCCGAGCAGAGAUCGAGAGAGCGGGACGGGAUUCGAUCGCGAUUGAUUGAUUCGGGAGCCCGGAUUGGAUUGGAUUGCGGGGUGGCGGGGGGGUCCUUAUUUAUCUUCCCAGCGGCGUGGCGUUGGGCUGCGCGCGCCGCGCCGCGGCGGGGGCGAGGGGGCGCGCUCGCCGCCACGGGUGAGCACGUGGAACGCGCGCAGGCGGGGCGGGAGCGAGACGAGACCCCGGGGGCGCAAGGGAAACCCAGCUGCUGACGAGCCCGAGGCUGGGUUUGAUUCCGCUGCGGGGUGGGGACGUCCUUGGGUUGGUGGUUUGGUUGGUCUGGCUGGUUUGGGCUGCAACGGCCAACGAAACGGGAAAGAGUUCUGUCCUUCCAGGGCCUGUCACGCGGGACGGUGUGUCAGUGACGGAUCAGGAAGGGUAGCAGGCCGGGCGGUCGAAUCAUGUGAGAGUGUCGCCGCCAUUUUCCGCGUAUCGGAUCCUAUUUCGUUGGUAGGGGUACCGAGGAUCUUUUGUAUCGGGCGAUCCAUCGCCCCGUUUCGCUGCCGCGUAACCACAACCUUUCCGAACUAGGAGUACCGCAAAUUUGGCUCCGUUUCCCACUUUUUUUUCCUGCGCUGUCAUGGUCUGCGAUUCAGAAUUUCAGAUCCCCUAAACCGAGAUCUCAGUGGAAUGGAAUGUUUGACCAGGCCGCUCCGCCGCAUCGCCAUGGCCUGUCGUCCUGUACCAGGCUCCCAGCGCGCUCGCCUCCCCUAUCGGGGCUCGUGGGGCAUCGGUGUCUCACACUCUCUGAAAUCUGAUCAUUAGCAAUGUAGGCCUGUUCGCUUCAGCUUAUUCAGUCGGCUUAUCAGUCACUAAACAGUGUUUUCCUCUCAUAACAAAUCAGCCGUUUCAGCUUUUCAACCGGCUUAUAAGCUAAAGCGAACAGGCCUGUAUAAAGACCAAGUGAUCUUAUACGUGGGUCCAUAUCAGCUGUCCCUAUUCUAUCUCACAACAUUAAACCACCUGUGGGCUUUAAGAGUGGAACCCAUUAGCACAUCCAACCAACCGUCCCCCUCUUUCUCUCCGUGCUUGCUCUCCUGUCCCCGUUCUUUCUUUCUCCGUGCCGCCACUGCCUUGCGCAGCCGCCCAUCCCUCCCUUGUGCCGCCUCCUCCCGUCCUUCAAUCCGCCCGAAUUGGCCAUCCACCCCUCAAAUCAAUCGUCAAGCACCUCCCAUCUCGCUUCCUCCACAUGGUGAGAGGGAAGAGAAAUUCAAGGGUGCGUGAUUUGGCCAGGCGGCCUCCAUGGCUGCCACCGCUUCCUGUCUUGGGCGCCGGUGGUGUUGAGCUUAGCAGCGAGGGAAAGGGGAGAGAUGUGGAGGGGGCGGCACUGGUGGCUUGGGCCUUCUCUCUGAGCUCAUGGGCGACGGAGUUUGUGGUUGCAACCCUUCCUGAACUCACGGUGGUGGUGGAGAUGCUCGUGUGGAGUGAGGAGAAGAGAGAAAAUAUUUGUUUAUUGGGCGGGAUUUAGUGCUAUGCAGGGGCGGACCCACAGGUGUAACAUCCAUAAAAAUCACCAACUUAAAUCACCCGCUAAAAUUUAUUUUCAAAAUCUUUUAUUGAGCUCCCAAAAAUCCCGUUUUCCCAGCGAUUUCGUCGUCCCGGCACCCAAAGCCGACAACCAUCAUUUUAUCCUCUUCGCAAAUUUCGGUGCGUGCUGGUCGACAAACCAUCGCACGUGCUCCGACCGUUUUCCGCAAUCACCGCCAACUCUCCCUUUCUUUUUCUCUUUUUCCCCUAUUCCUUUUUCUCCUUUUCUUCCUUCUCCUUUUCCCUUUCUUCUUCUUCCUUCCUCUUCCUUCCUGGCCGCAUACGCUUGCUGCCUUCUCUUACCUACCUAGCGCCAACCCCCCUCCCCUGCCACGCCCUGCACCCGCCUGCCCCACCUCACAAACGCACGCCUGGCCCUCCCCUUGGCCGCCCCUACCUGCGCCUUGGCCGGCCCCACCUGCGCCCGGCCCCCCUCCCGUCACCGACCCCUGCCGCUACACCGCCACAUCCAAGCCCCCGGCCCCUACCACCGGCCGCCGCCCAAGCUCGCCGGCCCUGGCCCUCCCCCAACAUCGUCGUCGUUUCCUCCGCCUGCCGGCUAUAAAAGGGCCAACGCCUUGGCCUCCCUCGCCACCCACAAGCUCGCCGACCCUCUCCUUGCUCCCUCCCGUGCCAAGGCGCCGCCGUACCACUCCUGCACGCCGCCCCCUCUCCCGUGCACCACCACCUCCCUGUCCACCACCGGUGCCGCUCUUCCCGUCACCGAUUCACCAAGGUGAGGCCCCAAAUGGGACCCCCUCACCCUCCUCUACCUUCCCCCGCCACCCAAUCUCGCCACCGGCGAGCCAUGGCCGGCCACCCGCCGCCGGAUUUGCCCUCCCCAUCUUCCUGUACUCGCCCAAGGAAGAAGAAGGAGAGAAACUCCUCAUUUUGAUCUAACCCCCAUCUUUCUCUAUUUCACAAAAUAGCCCUCCCACCUCUUUCAAAGAUUGUCUCACAGAUAUACCCUUCCACCUCCCAGAAAUAUUCGCAAACAAGUCUCUAGUUUCUCGCAGUUUAGUCCAAAGCUUUGUUUUAACCCCUAAAUACACAGUUAUCUCGUCAUUUUAUGCGCCAAACUUCCUCCGAUUAAUCCCAAAUUUGACCACGUCAUCUUCCAAUACCCCUCCGCCGAGGCAUCUCCAAAUUUCAUGAAAAUACUCAUUCCUUCUAUUUUUCAUUCGCGUUCUCUGUUCGAAGCUCAACGGGUAAAACUUUAAUUUUCUUUUAUUUAUUGUGUGCCCGAUUGUGUGUACCAUAGAUCGCGGAGUACCCGAGGGGGAGCAUGAGGAGGAGUUUGACCGCGAGCCCGAGCCCGAGGACCAGCACCGCGAGCAAGAACUCCUGGCCAACUACGAGGAUGGCAAGUCCAAUCUCACCCUUUGAUGCAUAUUUAUUCCUAGUUUUUCAAACACAACCUAUUGGCCUACUUUACAAAAUUGCAUAUUGUUUUACUGCUGAAAACACGGUUGGAUAGCCACCCCUUGAUUGUUAUGAACAUUCCUUGAUUGUCUUAUAAUUAUCUCUAAAUAUGAUUUGCUCUAUUUGGAUGAUAAUUACGGCUAGAAUGCUUAGGACCUUGUUACUCAAUUCAAUCAUGACUACAAUGGUUUAUUUAAAGAAUAAAUGUGUGAGUGUUUUCAAAUGAGAAAAUGGAUUUUCGGAAAUAAAGGAAAUGCUUAGAUGAGAUGGAUGGGUGUUUUUUGUGUGAAAUGCCAAUAAGUUGGGCUCGUACCUUUGUGGUUGAGCAAGGUUGGGAGAUAUCCAUCUUGUCAUAGUUAAGGACCGAGUUGAUGUGCCAUCUUGCCUAACCCACUAUCGUGCAACCAACGACCGUUGUGUGGGCGGCGGCUUAGCAUAAAGCCCUCUAGCUUGUCUGUUAGCCAUCAGGAGAGCUGGUGAGCAAUGGGAGACCAUGGAGAAAGACUAAAAACUUUGUGAACUUAGAUCCCGGUUAAGACCUCGUUGGAAGGUCGUUAACCCCUUGGGUGCUUCCGUGUUGGCUAAUCAGUCUUAGCUAAGGUGAGUAAUGGCUUUGAUAGGAUCUGCACCAACACUAAGAUGAUCGUGCUACGUACCCUACUUGUGGGUAAAGUGUACAACCUCUGCAGAGUUAAAACCUAUCAGGGUAGCCGUGUCCACGGUAUUGGACGAGUUACGGCUUAGACACAUAACUAGUGUUUGGGUGAUGAAUGGUUUCCAUGGUGUGAGUUAAAUUUUGGAUGGUGUCCGGCAGUUGUGCUGUGAGCUACUGUGGACGGGGAGUCCAAUAGCAUUAAAAAGUUUGGAUCCUUUGUGUAGGAUUAACCCCUCUUACUGAUUUGGUUACUAAAGAAAAUAUUUUGUGAAAACCCUUUUGAAAAUGAACCCUUGGAUGUGUUGAAAAACCUAGCUUUAUAGCAAAUAAACCCGAGCCUUAUCCUUGAUAUACCCUAUGCAUAUUCUUGAUUGUAUCCCCCUCCGUGGAUGGGGUUGGACUUGUUGAGUACUUUUCUAUUUACCCUUGUUUUGUUGCUUUAGAGGAAGACCCGGACUUCGUCACCGAGGAUUUCGAGUAGAAGGUCACUUCAGCACCCAACGCUGCCUGUGGUGUUGGCCUUUGCAGAAUGCUUCCACUGCCGUGUAGUCCCGAGUGCUAUCUCUUGACAGUAGCUUGGCUCGCUGCUGUUGUUUAUGUACUUAUCAUUUCGGCGUGCCUUUUGCGCCUGCUCCCUCGGGAGUUGUCCGGUUUAUGAAUCACUUGUUGAAUAAAUGUGUUAUCAGCCUCCUAGGACUGAUAUUUGUAUCACAUUUAGUCUCCGUUGAUGUGGGGACGCUUCAGGUAGUAUCGGAACUGUCAUUGGCUGUAGGACGUGACUGUAGGACUGGAAAAGCCUUUCUGACCAAAAUAAGUGAUUUAUAAAAUUUCUUCUUUCCCCUACUCUAUUGCAAAACUAAUUUGCACCCCGAUUCUUUCCAGAUAGCCCAAGAAGAUGGGUCAACAGCCACUGCCUGGAAGAGCCCAGAUUCCUGAGGUUGUUGUUUGCCUGCAUGGAUCGUCUCGGCAUUUAUGAAUGUCCGGAGUACACUAGCAGGGAGUAUGUAACAUCCGCAGAAAUCACCAACUAAAAUCACCCGUUAAAAACCGUCUUUAAAAUCUUUUUACCGCUGAGCUCCCGGAAAUCGGAAAUCUCCCCGGCGAUUUCGCCGUCCCGGUACCCAUGCCGACCCCUACCUUUUUAUCUGUGCCCGGAAAUCUCCCCGGCGAUUUCGCCGUCCCGCCACCCGUGCCGAGUCCCCCACGCGCCACCAACCACCGCCGCCGGAAGCCGCCACCGAAGCCGUGCGCCGCCGCCGCAAGCCACCACCGGCCGCCCUCUUCCAUUGCCGCCACCCACGGUAAGGAAGGCAAAAUGGGGUCUCCACCCCUUCCUCCACCACCUCCUCCGCCCACGGCCGCCGCCGGUGAGCUCGGCCGGCCGGCCACCGUCGCCCCACUCAUCCCCACUCUCCCUCUCUCUUCCUGGAAGAAGAAGAGCUAAAGUUCCCCAAAAUUCCGAUCUGACCCCCUAUUUCUUCUUAUUCGCGAAACAGUCCUCCCACCACUCUCAAAAUCUAUUCACGGAUAAGCCCCUCCACCUCCAAAAGUAUUUACAAAAAGGUCCCUGGUUUAUUACAAAUCAGUCCUAAACCUCCGUUUAAGCCCCUAAUUCAUGUUUAACCUGUCAUUUCAUGCGCCAAACAUCCUCCAAUUAAUCUCAAAUUUCACCACGUCAUCCUCCAGAAUACUUUCGCCGAUCCAUAUGCAAAUUUCCCAAAAAUAAUCCUUCUACCUAUUUUCCGUCAACGUUUCCUGUUCGGAGCUCACGGUUAAAAACCGUUUCCUCUCUUAUUUAUUUGUGUGUCUGUUUGUGUGUGUCGUAGAUCGCGGAUUGCCCGAGGAGGAGCCCGAGGAGGAGUUUGACCGCGAGCCUGAGCCCGAGGACCAGUACCGCGAGCCAGAACUCCCGGAAGGCUUUGAAGACGGCAAGUCCAAUCUCACCCUUUGAUGCAUACUUAAUACCUAGUUUUUCAAACACAACCUAUUGGCCUGUUUUAAAAAAAUGCAUAUUAUUUCAUCGCAAGACAUGGUUGGAUAGCCACCCCUUGAUUGUUACGAACAUUCCUUGCUACCCUAUGCUUAUCUCUAAAUACGACUUGCUCUGUUUAGAUGAUAACCACUGCUAGAACGCUUAGGAAUUUAUUACUCAACGGCAAUCAUUAUUACCAUGAUGUUUUCGGAAAAUGAACGUGUGUGUGUGUGCAAGUGAGAAAAAUAGCUUUUCGGGUUCAAGGGAAAAGGAUGUGUAGACAGGAUGGAUGGGUAUUCCUUGUGUGGGAUGCCAGUUUGUUGUGCUCGUACCUUGGUGGUUGGGCAAUGUCGGGAGAUAUCCAUCUUGUCAUAUUUAAGGACCGAGUUGAUGUGUCAUCUUGCCUAAUUCCACCAUCGUGCAACCACUCGACCGUUGUAUGGGCAACGGCUUAGCAUAAAUCCCACUAGCUGAAUUGUUAGUCCUCAGGUGUGCUGGUGAGCAACGGGAGCCCAUGGAAAAGGAGUAAGAUCUUGGUGACUUAGGUCCCGGUUACGGUCUUGUGGACGAGCCGUGAACCCCUUGGGUGUUUCCGCGAGGGCUAGCCAGUCUUAGCUAAGGUGGGUAAUGGCUUUGUUAGGAUCCGUACCGUCACUAAGGUGAUCGCGAUACGGUACCCUACUUGUGGGAAAAGUGUACACCCUCUGCAGAGUUAAAACCUAUCCGGGUAGCCGUGUCCACGGUAUUGGAUGAGUUACGGCUUGGUCACAUAACUAGCAAUUGGGCAAGAAUGUCAUGUGUGUGUGCGUAUGUGUUGGAUUUUGGAAGAGUCCGGCAGUUGUGCCGUGCGCUAUGGUGGACCGGGAGUCCGAUAGCGAUAAAAACUUGGAUCCUUUGUGUAGGAUCAACCCCACUCAAUAUUUUGGGUAUUAAAGGGAAACUUUACACAAAAACCCUUUCGAAAACGAUCCCCUGCAUGUGUUAAAAUCUAGCUUUACCGCAAAUAAACUAUAGCCUAUCCUUGUUGUAUCUGUGCAUAAACUUGCUUGUAUCCCCCUCCAUGGAUGGGGUUGGACUUGUUGAGUACGUUUGUACUCACCCUUGCUUCAUUGCUACAGAGGAAGACCCGGACUUCGUCGCCGAGGACCUUGAGUAGAGGUUGUGUCCGCACCCGACGCUGCCUGUGGUGUUGGCCUACCCAAGAUGCUGCUGCUGCCGUGUAGUCCCGAGUGCUGUCUUUUGGCAGUCGCUUGGUUAGCCGCCGUUAUUUAUUUACUGUUUAUCGCUGCGUGGCUUUCAUGCCCACUCCCUCAGGAGUUGUACGGUAACUGAAUUAUCUGUCGAAUAAAUGUGCUAUCAGCCUCCUGGGACUGAUAUUUGUAUCACAUUUAGUCUCUACUUAUGUGGGGACGCUUCAGGUGGUAUCAGAGCCGUCGUUGGCUGUAGGACGCGACCUUAGGACCGGAUUAGCCCUUUUUGACCAAAACAAAAGAAUUACAAAAUUGCUGCAUACCUCUGCUCUAUUGUAAAACUAAUUUGUGCCCCGGAUCUUUUCCAGAUGGCCGAGGAAGGAUGGGUCAACAGCCACUGCCUGGAGGAGCCUGGUUUUCCCAGAUUGUUGUUCGCCUGCAUGCACCGCCUCGGGAUUUAUGAGCGUCCGGAGUACACCAGCAGGGAGUACGAGGACCGCGGGACCCCUCGGUGUGAGAUGAUUAUCUACAUCGGGCGGAGUAGCUGCUACCCCGACAUCCAGCCAUGGAAUGUGACUGCCACCGGCUUCCGGCACAAGGAUACUUAUCAAGUGGAAGCCUGGAAGGCCCUCCGUUUCUUGUGCCAGAUCUAUGAGAGGCACAUUGGUCGCACUCCGAUGAGGUUCUACCCGCCUGUCAAGAAAAACCGCCCGGUUUGGUUGGCCCGAGUACGGACCUUGGAACGACGUGGACAGCGCGAGGAUGACCCCACUGUGCUGCACAUGGCUGCCUACCUUCUCACCUUGGACGAGCUCUACGACGAGCAGGCUGCUAAGUUGAAGCAGCAGACCCGUAGGGCUGAGGACGCAGAAGUUAUGGUGAGGAGGCUUCAGGUGAAGUUAACCACCGCCGAAGCUCGAGCCGCAGCCGCUCAAAGCAAUGAGGCCAUUGCCAUUGAGGCUCUCAAAGAGGCUGAGGAUCGGCACUCCAAGGAACUGAAGGAUGCCCACCUCACCAUUCGUGCCAGAAGGAGGAUGGUGGCCAUCGAGGACGACGAGGCCCCGAUCCUUGAAGGGAUUCCCAUUGCCCCAGGGCCCAGUAAGCGGAAAAGCCCGGAUGCCACCCCGGCACCACCACCUUCAGAAAGGAACUCCGAGGUGUCGGAUGGAGUGGUUCCCGAGACCCCUCCCACGGGCGGGACUCUGAAGGAUGAGGUGCUGGCCCUUCUCCUUCCGAUAGAAGAUCACUCAGUCCAGGGAGAAGACUCGCCCCGCGAGUAGUAUGCCCAGCCAGGAUUGCCCAAGGAAUGAAGCCGCCAUGGUCCGCAGUUUAGAAUUGUACCCUCCAGUUGUGUUGCUGUAACCGGUCGUGUAGUACGUGUUUUGGCCUUACCCCAGCAGUGUUGUACCCCCCCUGGCAAAAUAAAUAAAAUCGUUUGUGUUUGUUGCCUGUUAGUCUGUGUGUUGUCGACAGGAGGUGGAUUCUGUCUCUUCGAAAAUACGAAUUAACCACUUUAAAGAUCACUAAAAUCCAAAUCACACUCUCAUAAAGUCUCACUCAAUCUGCAGAUGCCGCCCAAGCGUGCCACCAGGACUUCCCCAAGUCAGGCCCAUGCCACCCCCAGUGCAGAGAAGCAGCCAGAAAGGCAAGAACCGCCUCCGGCAGUGCUUCCUGAGGAGCAGGAAGUGAGCUAGCCAGAAGGAAGGGGAGAGAGUCAGGUGGGGACACAGCAGCCACUGCCCCCACCGGUUAUUGAUCUGGUUCAAGUGAUGAACAACCAGACCCUUCUGCUGGAAGCUCUAGCCAACGCCGUUACUCGCCAGAGGCCCCGCGGGCAGAACAUGAAUGAGAAGUUAACGGACUUCCUCCGGACCAAGACACCCACUUUUGGCGGGUCUGUCAACCCUCUGGACGCAGAUGACUGGCUGCGCGUCAUCCAGAGGAAGCUGGAACCAUUUGGUUGUGAGGGCAGGGACAAGGUCCUCUUGGCUGCCCACUAGCUCACUGGGACUGCCCUAGCUUGGUGGGAGAACUACUGCUCUGCCGCCCAGGAUGCCUCCACUAUCACCUGGGAUGAGUUCGUGACGGAAUUCCGUCGCUACCAUAUCCCCGCAGCAACCAUGAAGCGCAAGGCGGAUGAGUUCCGUGAGCUCCGCCAGGGCAACAGAUCUGUGGAGGAGUAUACCUUCCAGUUCAUGGAGCUGGCCCGUUAUGCUCCAGAGGAGGUAGACAAGGAUGAGAAGAAGCAGGACAUGUUCAAGAAAGGCUUGAACGCGGAGUUGAGAACCCUGCUCACUCCCCAGAUCUACCCCGACUUCAACACCUUGAUGAACAUGGCCAUCCUGACCGAGAGGGCCAAAGCAGAAGAGCGGAGGGACAACAAGCAUUGGUUCCUGGAGAGCAAGGCACACCAGCAGGACCGGUUCCAGAAGCCAAGGAGCUUCGGUCACCCCUUGCCCAGAUCCCAAGCUCCCAUGCAUUAUUGGACCAAGUCCCAAGCAUCUGGCUCAUAUCAGACUGCUGCCCCAUUCAGGAGCCAGAACCCUAUCAAGACCCAACAGAGCAGCGCCAGCCAAAUCACUGGCAAUGGUAGGGCAUGCUUCAAUUGCAGGGAGCCAGGACAUUUCAUCGCCAACUGCCCCUAUGCCAACAAGCCAGCAGCAUCAGCCUUGUCCAACUCAGUAGCUGGGCCCAGGGCCGCAUUGUCAGGAGCCAACCGUGUGCCAGUUCGCAGCAGCGGCAACCCCAGCAACAAUAACAGCCAGCAGAUGAGGCUGCCCCAGCCAUCAUUCGGACGAGCUCGCGUCAACCACAUCGGCGCGCAGGAGGCUCGCGAAGCUCAGGGCGUGGUACUCGGUGAGUUUCUAGUCAGCUCAGUCUUGGCAACAGUACUUUUUGAUUCUGGAGCAUCACAUUCCUUCAUAUCCUCAAGUUUUGUGGAAGAACACCAUAUACCUACAGUACUACUAAAGUUACCCCUAUUAACCCGGACUCCUGGAGCCGACAUUCAGUGUCGACUAGGUUGUUCUCGGGUAAGGAUCAAUUUAAGUGGGGUAGAAUUUCUAGCGGAUCUAGUAGUACUUAAGUCUAAGGGGAUAGAUGUGAUUCUUGGAAUGGACUGGUUGAGCCUGCAUGACGGUCAUAUAGGGUGUGCUGACAAGGUAAUGCAUCUAACCAAUCGGGAAGGUGUGCAAGUGACCUGCCACACCCGAGGAAGUGGUCCAGAUCCCAUGGUGUUUAGCCUGGAAACCAAGACUUUAGAAGAAGUCCCGGUAGUGAGUGAAUACCCGGACGUCUUUCCUGAGGAACUACCUGGAAUGCCCCCUGACAGAGACAUAGAGUUCGUAAUUGACCUCGUCCCCGGAACCUCCCAUAUAGCCAAGAGACCCUAUAGAAUGGCAGCCUCAGAGUUAGCCGAGCUGAAGAAACAGUUGGGAGAGUUGCAACAGAGUGGCUUUAUCAGGCCUAGCUCAUCCCCGUGGGGAGCCCCCGUACUCUUUGUCAAGAAGAAAGAUGGGAGUAUGAGGAUGUGCGUGGAUUAUCGCGCACUAAAUGAGGUCACCAUUAAGAACAAAUACCCCCUCCCCAGAAUAGAUGACCUAUUCGACCAGCUGAAAGGAGCCAAGUAUUUCUCCAAGAUAGAUCUGAGAUCAGGGUACCAUCAGCUCAAGAUCAAGGAGAGCGACAUCCCGAAGACCGCCUUUGUCACCCGUUAUGGUCAAUUUGAGUUUAUAGUGAUGUCCUUUGGAUUGACCAAUGCACCUGCUUAUUUCAUGAACCUCAUGAACAAGGUGUUUAUGGACGAGUUAGAUAAGUUUGUCGUAGUCUUCAUUGAUGAUAUACUUAUUUACUCCAGGAGUGUUCAGGAGCAUGAACAACAUUUACGGGUGGUAUUGGAAAAAUUGAGAGCCCACCGACUCUAUGCUAAAUUCAGCAAGUGCGAAUUUUGGCUUGAGAAAGUGGCAUUCCUUGGUCAUAUCUUGACCGCGGAAGGAGUAUCAGUUGAUCCUGAGAAGGUUGAAGCCGUUUCCAACUGGCAGCAACCCACUAAUGUUAGUGAAAUCAGGAGUUUCCUAGGUUUAGCUGGGUAUUAUCGGAGGUUUAUUGAGGGAUUCUCCAAGAUAGCCCGGCCCAUGAGAGAGUUGCUCAGAAAGGACAAGAAGUUCACCUGGACCGAGUCAUGUGAACGGAGUUUCCAAGAGCUGAAGAGGAGAUUGACGACAGCCCCAGUAUUAACCCUACCAGAUAUCCAGCGAGACUUCGUCAUCUACUGUGAUGCAUCCCGACAAGGAUUAGGAUGUGUCCUCAUGCAGGACAGGAAGGUUGUGGCAUAUGCUUCCCGACAACUUAAGCCCCAUGAGCAGAACUACCCAACCCAUGACCUAGAGUUUGCAGCCGUAGUGCAUGCCCUCAAGAUCUGGAGACAUUAUCUGAUUGGGAAUAAGUGUGAAAUCUACACCGACCAUAAAAGCCUAAAGUACAUUUUCACCCAGCCCGAUCUGAAUUUAAGGCAAAGGAGGUGGUUAGAACUGGUAAAGGACUACAACCUAGAAAUCCAUUACCACCCCGGCAAAGCUAAUGUUGUAGCUGAUGCCUUAAGCAGGAAGUCCUAUGGAUAGCCCGGACCCGAGAAUGCCCGUCUACAGAAGGAAAUGGCCCGCCUAAAUGUGCAUAUCAUUCCCCAGAAUGCUAGCCGCAGGCUAAGUGUCCAGCCCACCUUAGAGGAUAAAAUCCGAGAAGCCCAGGGUUCAGACCAAGACCUAGUAAAAAUCCGCAAGCAGACCGGAGAAAAUAAAGCCCCGGAUUUCAGAGUAGAUGACAAGGGAACCUUGUGGUAUAAGGACAGAAUUUGUGUCCCCAAGGACGGAGAAUUCCGGCAGACCAUCAUGGAUGAAGCCCAUAACUCAGCAUACUCCAUUCACCCCGGAUCCACAAAGAUGUAUAUGGACUUAAAGCAGAAAUACUGGUGGAAUGGGAUGAAGGCAGACAUAGCUCAGUUUGUUGCCCGUUGUGAUACUUGCCAAAGGGUCAAGGCCGAGCACCAGAAGCCAGCCGGCUUGCUACAACCCUUACCUAUCCCGGUUUGGAAGUGGGAUGAGAUCGGCAUGGAUUUUGUAGUAGGCUUGCCCAGAACUCAGAAGGAAAAUGACUCCAUAUGGGUAAUAGUGGACCGACUCACUAAAGUUGCUCACUAUCUACCCGUACGGACCACAUACGGUGGAGAAAGACUAGCUCGACUCUACGUCGACAACAUAGUGAAGCUGCAUGGUGUACCCAGCCGGAUCGUCUCGGAUAGAGGAACUCAGUUCACCUCUAGGUUUUGGAGGAGCUUGCAUAAAGUCAUGGGCACCAAACUGGAUUUUAGUUCAGCCUAUCACCCCCAGACCGAUGGCCAAACAGAGCGGGUAAAUCAAAUCAUGGAAGAUAUGUUGAGGGUGUGUGUCCUCACCUAUGGAAAGGAUUGGGAACAAAGUUUACCCUAUGCAGAGUUCUCAUACAACAAUAGUUACCAAGCCAGUCUAGGCAUGUCACCAUUUGAGGCCCUUUAUGGUAGAAAGUGUCGAACCCCUUUGAUGUGGUCGGAAGUCGGAGAGCGUUCCCUGGUCGGACCAGCUUUCAUCAAGGAAGCAGAAGACCGUGUGGCAGAAAUCCGAGAGAAGCUGAAGACUGCACAGUCCAGGCAAAAGAGCUACUCGGACAAAAGAAGACGAGAAUUGUACUUCAAUGAGGGAGAUUUUGUCUACCUCAAGGUAUCCCCGAUUCGGGGUACUCGAAGGUUUCAAGUGCAAGGGAAACUAGCCCCUCGGUAUAUUGGACCAUACCAGGUGAUAAAGAGGGUUGGAGCCGUAGCAUACCGUAUCCAACUGCUCGAAGAAAUGUCGGAUAUACACCCGGUAUUUCAUGUCUCCCAGCUGAGGAAGUGCUUGAGAGUACCGGAGGAACAAGUACCGGUGGAAACAAUAGACCUACAAAAGGACCUUCGAUACCAAGAAGUGCCUGUCAAGAUUUUGGACACUGUCACCAGAAGGACAAGGAAUACAGCGGUCCGGAUCUGCAGAGUGCAAUGGAGUAGGCAUGGCGAAGAAGAGGCCACGUGGGAACGCGAGGACGCAUUAAAGAAGGAAUUCCCCCAUCUCUUCAGGACUCAGUCGAAUCUCGAGGACGAGAUUCAAUUUAAGUGGGGUAGGUUUGUAACAUCCGCAGAAAUCACCAACUAAAAUCACCCGUUAAAAACCGUCUUUAAAAUCUUUUUACCGCUGAGCUCCCGGAAAUCGGAAAUCUCCCCGGCGAUUUCGCCGUCCCGGUACCCAUGCCGACCCCUACCUUUUUAUCUGUGCCCGUAAAUCUCGCCGCGUGCCGUCGACAGACCGCCGCGCGCGUGCUCCGACCGUGUGCCGCGAUCGCCGCCGGUCCCUCUCUUUUUCUUUCUCUUUUUCCCUCCCCCUUUUUCCUUUUCCUUUUCCUUCUUCCUCUUCCUUCUUUCUUCUUCCUCCCUUCUUCUCUCUCUUUCUCUUUCUUCUUCCCGGCGCCUGAACCGGCCCCAGCUCCUUAACUUCCCGGCGCCACCCCCUACUGGUGCCACGCCGCCCAGCCUCCGCACGCCAGGGGCCCGCUCCGCCUGGCCCGGCGCCGGCCGCGCCGCUGCCUCCCUCGGGCCGCGCGCCCGAGCCGGCCCCGGCCAACUGCGCCGCUCCGCCCGGCGCUUGGCCGCCCCUGCCUCGCGCGCACGCCCCUGCCCCGCCAUCGGCCGACCCCACCGCCGGUGCCGUGCGGCCACCGCACCCUGCCGGCCCGUCCCCUACCGCCCACUCCGGCCCCCUACGGCGCCGGCCGCCGCCCGUGCACGCCACCGCCGAUCCCAUCGCAACACCGGCCACCUCCCCCUCGCCGGCCUAUAAAAGGCCCGGCGCCCGGCCAUCUCCCCACUCCAUCCACCAGCACCACCGCCACCCGUGCCGAGUCCCAUGCGCGCCACCAACCGCCGCCGCCGGAAGCCGCCACCGAAGCCGUGCGCCGCCGGCGCAAGCCACCACCGGCCGCCCUCUCCCAUUGCCGCCACCCACGGUAAGGGAGGCAAAAUGGGGUCUCCACCCCUUCCUCCACCACCUCCUCCGCCCACGGCCGCCGCCGGUGAGCUCGGCCGGCCGGCCACCGUCGCCCCACUCAUCCCCACUCUCCCUCUCUCUUCCUGGAAGAAGAAGAGCUAAAGUUCCCCAAAACUCCGAUCUGACCCCCUAUUUCUUCUUAUUCGCGAAACAGUCCUCCCACCACUCUCAAAAUCUAUUCACGGAUAAGCCCCUCCACCUCCAAAAGUAUUUACAAAAAGGUCCCUGGUUUAUUACAAAUCAGUCCUAAACCUCCGUUUAAGCCCCUAAUUCAUGUUUAACCUGUCAUUUCAUGCGCCAAACAUCCUCCAAUUAAUCUCAAAUUUCACCACGUCAUCCUCCAGAAUACUUUCGCCGAUCCAUAUGCAAAUUUCCCAAAAAUAAUCCUUCUACCUAUUUUCCGUCAACGUUUCCUGUUCGGAGCUCACGGUUAAAAACCGUUUCCUCUCUUAUUUAUUUGUGUGUCUGUUUGUGUGUGCCGUAGAUCGCGGAUUGCCCGAGGAGGAGUUUGACCGCGAGCCUGAGCCCGAGAACCAGUACCGCGAGCCGGAACUCCCGGAAGGCUUUGAAGACGGCAAGUCCAAUCUCACCCUUUGAUGCAUACUUAAUACCUAGUUUUUCAAACACAACCUAUUGGCCUGUUUUAAAAAAAUGCAUAUUAUUUCAUCGCAAGACAUGGUUGGAUAGCCACCCCUUGAUUGUUGCGAACAUUCCUUGCUACCCUAUGCUUAUCUCUAAAUACGACUUGCUCUGUUUAGAUGAUAACCACUGCUAGAACGCUUAGGAAUUUAUUACUCAACGGCAAUCAUUAUUACCAUGAUGUUUUCGGAAAAUGAACGUGUGUGUGUGUGCAAGUGAGAAAAAUAGCUUUUCGGGUUCAAGGGAAAAGGAUGUGUAGACAGGAUGGAUGGGUAUUCCUUGUGUGGGAUGCCAGUUUGUUGUGCUCGUACCUUGGUGGUUGGGCAAUGUCGGGAGAUAUCCAUCUUGUCAUAUUUAAGGACCGAGUUGAUGUGUCAUCUUGCCUAAUUCCACCAUCGUGCAACCACUCGACCGUUGUAUGGGCAACGGCUUAGCAUAAAUCCCACUAGCUGAAUUGUUAGUCCUCAGGUGUGCUGGUGAGCAACGGGAGCCCAUGGAAAAGGAGUAAGAUCUUGGUGACUUAGGUCCUGGUUACGGUCUCGUGGACGAGCCGUGAACCCCUUGGGUGUUUCCGCGAGGGCUAGCCAGUCUUAGCUAAGGUGGGUAAUGGCUUUGUUAGGAUCCGUACCGUCACUAAGGUGAUCGCGAUACGGUACCCUACUUGUGGGAAACGUGUACACCCUCUGCAGAGUUAAAACCUAUCCGGGUAGCCGUGUCCACGGUAUUGGACGAGUUACGGCUUGGUCACAUAACUAGCAAUUGGGCAAGAAUGUCAUGUGUGUGUGCGUAUGUGUUGGAUUUUGGAAGAGUCCGGCAGUUGUGCCGUGCGCUAUGGUGGACGGGGAGUCCGAUAGCGAUAAAAACUUGGAUCCUUUGUGUAGGAUCAACCCCACUCAAUAUUUUGGGUAUUAAAGGGAAACUUUACACAAAAACCCUUUCGAAAACGAUCCCCUGCAUGUGUUAAAAUCUAGCUUUACCGCAAAUAAACUAUAGCCUAUCCUUGUUGUAUCUGUGCAUAAACUUGCUUGUAUCCCCCUCCGUGGAUGGGGUUGGACUUGUUGAGUACGUUUGUACUCACCCUUGCUUCAUUGCUACAGAGGAAGACCCGGACUUCGUCGCCGAGGACCUUGAGUAGAGGUUGUGUCCGCACCCGACGCUGCCUGUGGUGUUGGCCUACCCAAGAUGCUGCUGCUGCCGUGUAGUCCCGAGUGCUGUCUUUUGGCAGUCGCUUGGUUAGCCACCGUUAUUUAUUUACUGUUUAUCGCUGCGUGGCUUUCACGCCCACUCCCUCGGGAGUUGUACGGUAACUGAAUUAUCUGUCGAAUAAAUGUGCUAUCAGCCUCCUGGGACUGAUAUUUGUAUCACAUUUAGUCUCUACUUAUGUGGGGAUGCUUCAGAGUAUGAAGACCGCGGGACACCCUGGUGCGAGAUGAUCAUCUACGUCGGAAGGAGCAGUCACUACCCCGAGAUCCAACCCUGGAAUGUGACUGCCACCGGCUUCCAGCACAAGGAUACUUACCAAGUGGCAGCUCGGAAGGCCCUUCGCUACUUGUGCUAGAUCUAUGAGAGGCACCUCGGCCGCACAGCGAUGAGAUUCUACCCGCCAGUCAAAAAGAACCACCCGAUUUGGCUUGCCCGGGUGAAGACUUUGGAAGGACAUGGACAACGGGAGGAUGACCCCACCGUGCUCCACAUGGCUGCUUAUCUUCUCACCCUGGACGAGCUAUACAAUGAGCAGGCUGCAAAGCUGAAGCAGCAAAUUCGUAGAGCUGAGGACGCAGAAGUUAUGGUGAGGAGGCUUCAAGUGAAGCUAGCAGCUGCCGAGGCACGAGCUGCAGCCGCCCAAAGCAAUGAGUUGCCGCCAUUAAGGCCCUCAAGGAGGCCGACAGGAGGUGGAUUCUAUCUUUUCGAAAAUACCCUGGGGCCAAGCUAUAAGUGAAACAUAAUAGUCCGUCUGGCUGUGCCGGCGUCGUGGACGCCGCUUCCGUCCGCUCGCAUUGUGGAGAGCAGUGUCCCUGCCACCGUCCGCCCGUCCGUGUCGCUCUCUCUGCUCGCGAGGCCGCCGGCAGCCCUCACCGCAAUCCAGCCUCGAGGUCCCAGCCGUCGUCGUCCGCAUGCUUGGCUCGUGCGCCUCCGUCGGUCACCAUGCCUCCUGCGGUCCCAUGGUUGAGGCCGUUCCCUAUGUUCUCAUCGUGCAGACCAAGCAGCUGGGUCGCAGUGGAUGCUGUUGAUCCAUGCGGUGACAGAACUUUGACUGUCAAGACUCACGCAUGGUGUUCAACUAUAUGCCUCAACAGAUGAAUACAAAAACUUAGUUUGCAUAGAGAAAGAUCAAGAUUGAGAGAUAGCAUCACACUACUCAAAGAGACUGGUGUAUCUUUGCAACUAACUUUAGCGCAUUCUUUAAUUUGUUUUCAAUUUAUUUCUUGGCUCAUGAUCCUGUCUCGCUUGUACUAGGUUUUGGUUCCGAGGCACAUCCAUUUCACGCCAACCUUGACCUUGAAGGCAAUCGGAAUCACCACCAGCUGCUCAAAGGUGAUUGCCCUUCAACGACUGCUAGUUGGUUCUUGGUUGGACACAGCACAUAAAUAUGUUGCACUCUAUAUUUACUAUUAGUUGCCUGUUUAAACACGGAGGCACAAAGUGUAUGAUAUGGUUUACUUACUUCUCAAAUUGAUAUUGCUUUUACCAGUGGCAACAGCAAGUAUUGACAAUGUAUUUUCUGCAUUGGUUAAAGUGAAAACAAAGUCAAGGAAUAAGUUAAGUGAUAGUGUUUUGGAUGAUUGUCUAGUCACAUUCAUUGAGCGGGAUAUUUUCUUCCAAGUGAAUGAAGAUGAUAUAAUCAAGACAUUCAUAUCACUCAAAAAGCGGCGGGUAAACAAAACAAACAAGUAAUAUUGUAAGUUUCUUUUAUGCUAUAUUUUGAAUUAUUUGUAUUUCAUUUGAACUAUUUAUAUUGUGAUUAGUUAUUGUUUCUAUCUUAAUCUUUGAAUUUAAGAUUUAUCAUGUUAUUUAGUGCAUGUGAUUUACCGAAUUAGAAUAUAGUUUUACCAAAUUGUAAAUGGUUUUAUGGAAUUGCAUAAGAUUUUUUUUUUCGACAUACCCUGUGGUAAAAUCCUAGGUCCGCCACUGGCACUAUGGGUAGUCAUAAGGAUGAAGUACUGUAAGGACUACCGGUACAAUGGUAGGCCAACCUAUAUGGAGAUGUAAAGACCAUUUUGUCCCCAUCGUGGCUGCCCUUAGUGCGCCGGCUGAUAUGGAAGUCGUUGCGCAAUUAAGGGGGUGUUUGUUUCUUUAGUCACUACUAAAAUUCCUAUCACAUCGAAUGUUUAGAUACUAAUUAGGAGUAUUAAACAUAGACUAAUUACAAAACCAAUUGCACAGAUGGAGACUAAUUUGCGAGACGAAUCUAUUAAGCCUAAUUAGUCCAUGAUUUGACAACGCGAUGCGACAGUAAACAUGUGCUAAUGAUAGAUUAAUUAGGCUUCAUAGAUUCAUCUCGUGAAUUAGCCUCCAUCUAUGUAAUUAGUUUUAUAAUUAGCUCAUAUUUAGUUCUCCUAAUUAGCCUUCGAAUAUUUGAUGUGAUAUGAAUUUUACUUCGGAUUAGACAUCCAAACACCUACGGAAGAGGAAUUAAACCGCGGCUCAGGAAGCCAUAACGGCCAGACGAUGGGACCUGGGUGUGACCGGCCCAGCAACGACGAAGAGCCGGAGGAGCGCCGUGGCUCGCAAGCGUAUGAUCCGGCCGUUCGGCCUGUGAGAGUUGGGGGAGUUCGGGAACGAGAAGGACGUUGUCGCUGGAUGCGUCCCCGUUGCACGCCGGCCCCUGCCACCGUUGAAUAUACCGGCAGCAAUUCACAUUUUAAUAAUUUAAGCAAGAACGCACUAAAUCAAAGACCAUGUUAAACAUGAAGAGAACAAAAAAGCUACUCACAAUAGGCAUACAACACAAUUCUAUUAUAAAGACACCGGUCAUAUCAAUCUUAUAUGAUUGUAGUAUCGAGUAUAACAUAAAAAAAAUCCCUAACAAAAGAGAUAAGAGAUCAUAUGGUGGAGUGGAACCAUCCUCAAUGGUAGCGGCAAUUCGAAGCCUUGUGACACAAAGUUUGCUAAUGUAACCUUACUGAUCAGUUGGCAAAAGCUACGACGAUCAGCAAUAGUAACAUCAAUAUACAAGUAGUCAUGUAGCAUGGCAUAACUAAAGUAAUCAUUGUGGAGACACCACUAGCAAGGGCUCACGCUAACCUCUCCCAAAAAUUUGAUUCGCCUCCGCUCGGUGUCUUAGAAAGGUGGGGUUUCGUAGACCGGCCCACUUAGUUGCAUAUGCACGAAGAUGUUGAGAUAAGGAUACUGGAGAGCCUCGACGGUAGAGGAGGAUGUAGGAUGCUUAUGUAUAUUGUACUCGGGUUUAGGAUGUAGAGAGGUCACCUAUUUAGAGCUUCUACCCAUACCUUGAAGAGCAGGUAAAACUCCUCGCAUAAAACGCAAGAACUGACCGGCUCCACAUGAUUUUUGUGCCUUUCAUUUCUUGGUGCAACAUUUUCAUUCAAUCCGUUUCAAAAAUAUCUUCUAGAAGCUUUUAUGUGAUUACGGUCUUAGAUGUCAAAUAUGACGAGAGAUCUUGUGAUCCUGAUUGAUUUGACACAAUCUCUUUGUGAUUUUUACCUUAUUAUUUUCUUAGUGUAAUUGAAUAUGGGUUAUGCCGGAUUUUUUAAAAAAAUUCUAGCCAAAAACUGAUAUCUUAAAAUAACUCAUCCUAAAUAUUAUUGAGUGACUGAGCUGCGACGCUGGCGCGCACACUGAGGUUGGCACGCUAGCGUGUCACACGCAAUGCCGCGGUUAGCGUGACCGUGCGCAGCCUGACGUAGUGACGUGCGAUGUGCGGAGGUCGCAGUCCCUGUCGGACUGCACCGGGGGGAGAGAGAGAGUUGCUGUGCUGUGCAGCUGUUCAAGGGGAGAGAGUGCGUGCAGAUUUUUCAAGGAGAGAGGUUGGAGCUCUACCUGCAGUCCUGCGCUACUCUACCACUGCUGAUGCCAUUUUCUUUGACCGGUGAGGCGGCUAUUGACUAUGCUCCGGGUUUAUAUUUUUAAGGAGAGAGAGUGUGUGGAGCUUUUUCAAGGAGAGAGAGUCUUCUUUAUUUGUCAUUAGUCGUCGGAUCAUAUACGAAAAAUCACACGUUCAUUCCAUACUUUUUUAAUUACAUUUUUCUUGUAAUUUUAAAGUUGCAUUUUAUCCAUGCAUGGAGCACCGAAGUCGCUCUCGUGUGGCGAGAUUGGGUUUAAUUAGCACUUGUACCAUAUCACUCUAUCUCCAUCGUCCAAGUAGUCAUUUCUGCAAAGAGUAUUACAGACGAAGUCAUGUAUGUCUAGAAAAUGUAUCUUGUGUUCUUUAGCAUCACUAAUCAUUGAUUUCUUUCACUAUGUGAUUAAGGGAUUUGGUAGGUCAGGGCGAACAGAGUAGCCUCUAAUAGAUGUUAUAGCCGAAACGAUACACAAAUGCUGAAUUAGGGUCUCCACAACAAAGUAACUUGAGAAAAUAUCUAACUUUUUUUCUUUCUAGAAAAUGGGAAUAUGUCCGGCUUCUGCGAAAAACGUACACAGCCAAAUGAACAAAUAUCUUAACUAUUAGCUCGACUUAGUCUUGUAAUUAGCAGCACAUCGGCACUUCUUGCCGAAUUUCAUGAACAAUUCUAGGCAGAAACUGAUCAAGAUGGGAAGAUAAACGCUGCAAUGGACAAAUGACCUUAAUUUGUUCAGUGCCAUUGCUGUUUCGGUAUUCGGAUGCAACCGGACUUUACCACCUCACUCAGUAAGCUGUCCCGUGUUCCUUGCUGAAUGCUGAUACAUUUGAGUAAUGCCCUGCAGCUACUUGUAAGCAUAGAGAGAACGAACACAUUCAUGUGUGACAUUGAACACUAAGAAUCUCAAGCACCAGUUUCCGAACAUGAUCUCUUUGAUUUAUGAGUUAACUAGACAGGUUGAAAACUAACACCACCGUGUCUGCCUAUUGUAAAAGAUAGUAAGAUACUACAUACAGAGCAGCAUACAUGGAUCUGAGGCUACAAUAUACAUCUACAUCUGUUCCCACAAGACGAGGAACAGCUACCUCGUCGGUGAAAAUCCCGUUACAACGACACAAGUUUCGCAAUGCAGGACGCCGACUUGUGCUGUUCGGGGAGCGUCCUCCACCACGCCACAAAAGAAGAGCUCCCCAGAAACACGUCCUUGCCCAGACUUCCAGAGUUAUACCAUCCAUGCGCAUCGCUCUCGAGCUUGACCACCCUAUCCCUCAGGUCCUGGAACGUCCUGCCGCCGGCCAUCUCGGCCUGGAGCUCCUCGACCACCGCCCAGAAGCAUGACUCGAGGCUGGACCCGACGGGCGCGCGCUGCAGCUGCUCGUGCCACCUCUGCGUGUACUUGUACCGCCGCGGCCGCCCCUUGGAGAGGUAGGAGCCGGUGUCCUCGUUCUUGGAGUGCCUGUAGUAGUUGGCGAUGUCCAGCGGCUCCACCAGGCGGCGGAACAGCGUGCCCAGGCCCACCCACUCCUCCCGCGCCUCGAAGCCGUCCGGCAGCUCGCGCCUCCGCAGCAUCUCGAUGAUCUCGUCCCAGAGCCCGGCCAGCUCCAACCUCCGCACGUUGGCGUUGAAGUCGUGCACCUCCCGCUGGAGCUUGAAGGAGUCGUAGUAGGUCACGCCGCGGAGUUCGCAUGCUCUCUUGUAGUCGUUUAGGGAUCUGAGGGCCUCCUGGAUCUUCUGGCAGCUUUCGUCAAUCUUCGUUUGGUUUCUCUGUCUUUGUUUCUCCCAUUGCGCAGCUGCAGAAAGGUGCAGUAUAGCUUCCUUGCUCUGUGAUUAAAAAAAAGAUAUAGGUUCUUUUACAUUAGAAGAAUACAUGUUGGGAGUCUUGAAAUGGUGACUGAAGAUUGCUUAUUUGAACACGAUGACAAUUACGAAAACAAACUUCAUAGACAUUUACAUUUUAAGCUAUGAAUCUAGGAUAGGUCGAUAGGAAAUGCUUUCGUGUUGGGCUGCAAUAUAGCACACGAUGACCCAACUUUAGUGGUUUGCAAUUUUCUUACCAAGACUGAUUUCACAGAGAGUGAACACAUGUUCACUACUGUGAAGGAAAUGCCAACUAUAAUGAAGAUGUGCAUUGACAAAAAGGAAAUGGUGGCUUACCAGUUCAAUGCUUCCAAAUGCCGCUCUGUCUGUCUGCCUACCAGGAACGGUUGACGAGAUUGCUCCCAGGUAAUCCACACAAACUAUAUCCGGCAUGCACUGUUUAAUUGGUUCAUACUGCCAAUGAGCACUUAAACUUCUAGCAGCAGCAUCAAGCAAUUGUUGUUGGGGAUCCAACUGAAGACAGUAAAAUAACAACUGCAGUACAGCAUCUGAAUUUGUGAUAACAAUCAGUUGUUCACUACUUGUCAAGAAAUGAUAAGUCCCGCAGGGUCUGUAAGGGGAGAGGUCAAUGAAGGAAGUCAACGUUCCCAAGAUUGAGCUAGUGCAGCCCAUGAAAGAACAGGCCUCAUAGCUGGCAAUCGAUAGCGUGCUUCUCAGUAAAGUUUCGUAGUACUCAGGUAUGACGAGAGACCUCCCAGCAGGUGAGUUGUUUGGUGUCUGAGGAGACAACCAAUCAAGAACAGCUUGAAUUUCUUCUCUGAAGGAUGCAAGCGGAGUCAGUGGUAUACGUGGGACAAUGUCUAGCGGAAGAAGGAAAUGCAAAAUACAUUGCGACCAGCCCUCUCUUCUAACAGCAUGGUUGAAGAUAUUGUCUCCAAUAAGAGGAGCCCCAAAGGUCACACAGAAGGGGUGUGCUUGAUUUACACUUCCCUGUCUGGUGCACUUCUCAAGAAACCAUAUAGCAGCAAGGGUGGCUAUCGAACCUCCUGAUGAAUGCCCUGUGAAUACUAUACGUUUCUCUUCAGCCACAGCUCUCGAUACCUGUAUUUCAAGGGAGGAGUUAUCAUUUUGUUCGUUUAGGUGACAAACAUAGUGAAAUGCUCAAUCUACAUCUCAGUUAACAUUUGAAUACAGCCAAUUUUAAACAGUACAAUUCUGUAUAUUAUGAUAUAAAAGUAAUAUAACUGGAAUGAAGACUUUGAAGGCUAUGGUAAUCGCCCAAACGAAAGAGGAAGGGGACAUGAAUUGUUACUCAAUUUGUUGUCCAAGUAAUGUAAUAUUGUCAAUCAUGAAAUUUUUCAUAAUUCCAAGCAUCUGGAAUGCUGUGGCUGAAAAGUAUGUUUUCCAGCUAUGUCAUUAUUUCUCACACAGUCCAAGACUUAGUCACAAACAUGAUGCACGGUCCUUCUAUGGAAUAAAUAUGUUUGACUCAGACUUGCCUUUGCUGUUUUAUUUGCAACUGCCUUACUUUAUUUAUGGCCCCUCCUCUUUCAUCGAAACUGUGGUAUGUAGUGUGAUGUAAACUAUUUUCUUUUCUUUUCCCAACAAAAAAGGGUGAAUUGAAAACUUUGCAAAAAGAAACAUCAAGUCAGCAAGCAGCCCAAAAAACAAUCAAGUUGACAUCAAGUUGAAAUCAAGCACUCCCUCCACAUUUGCAAGCUCUAUCCUGAUGUACAUUCACACUGCUUUAGUUAGACAAGCACGCUAAAAUCCACAAAGGUCAAUGCAACUGCAGCCCACAUAUCUUUAACUGGCAGAGCAGCUGAAACUAACAUACACAUGAACACAGCAACGGAAACAAUUGAAUCUUGCAGCUAACACACCUUAAAUUCAACCUAAUGCAUUUCACCAUACUAUAAAAGCAAGUAGCUUUUCAAAAUUGAUCCAUCUAAUCUCAUUUCUCCCUCAUAAAGUAUCCUGAAACGAUCAAUUCUUAGUCUCAGGGAUCGGACUGCAAGUGCCAUUUCCUGUAGCAGCAACUAACGAGAUCUUAGCACUAAAGAGUCAAUAUGGUUUAUCAAGCUAUACCGGAUACCAGCUCGAGAAGCCGGCGCUUGAUUCACUGACCUCGGACUGGAGCGUCGAUCCGUCGAGCAGGCCGCGGAAGGCGGCGAGGAAGGCUGCGUUAGCGCGCGCGGGGACGCCGCUCCCGACGGCGCGGAGCGACGGGAACAGCGCCGGGUCCACCUCCGCGUCCCCGAACGGCUGGCGGGCGCCUCCCGCGGAGGAGGGUGCCGCCCAGUCGCCGGCGGACCAGGAGGGCGCGAAGGCGAAGGCGGCGCAGGGGUAAGGGUGGGACGCGUGGUGCACCUGGAAGGAGCGGGCGGAGGAGGAGGCGGCGGGCGGGGCCGAGGCGGGGGAGGGGGAAGGGAAGGAGAGCUCGGCGCAGUGCGCGACGAGCAGGCGGUCGUCGUCGGACAGCGACGCCGCGCGCUGCGGCGGCGCCGGGGUGUCCGUCGGCAUCGCGACGGGACGGGAGAGUGGAGCACUGGAGCGCUUGGGGAGGCGGGAGGCGUGGAGCUGCUCUGAGGCUCUGAGCACCUGAGAUCGCUGGGUUGACUUGUCGCCGACGAGCAGCUGAGAGGGACGAGAAAAAGGAGAUAAAAAGGUUGGGACUUGGCCACUUGGGGAGGCUUGCGCCUUCUGAAGCCGUGGCUCGUACGACAACAGCGACGUUACAAAAUUUGUUCGAGCCGCUGCUCAUAACACCGUCUCCGUGUUUGCCCAGCCCAUUGAAAGUAGACUUGCUAUACCGGAUUUUUGCUGCCGAGCUUACUCGAUUCGAAGCCGAGAACCAAGAGCCGCUUCAGCUUAUAAGUCGACUGAAAAGUUGAAACGGCUGAUUUGUUGUGAGAGAAGAACACUGUUCAGCCCAAACCCUUCUGAGCUUCAGCAAUGCCUAUUUGGAUCUUUGGUGCUUUUGUUGGCAGCCAGAAUCCCUUCAUCCCUUGUGUGGUAAUGCGCACGCUUCUGCUUUCAGCCGUGCAGCAAGGACUUCGCCGUACAAGCUAAAGGCGGAUUGAUACCUACACAUGCACAAGCUUUUUGUGUCUUUAUAGAUUGCACUUCAAAAAAAGUCAAAAAUUUUAAUACACGCAGAAGACAAUUUGGUUCAUCACAGCAAACGCAGAGCAGUACCACAUAAAAGUGUGCAUGUAACAUACAGGAGAACCAGAACCAACCCCAUCCCUGCUAUAUCAGAGAUUUUCUUCUUUGCUUGUAUUUGUACGCAGUAUACACUAUACAGACAUAUUAUGCUUUAGUUUCAUCAUCCAAAAGAAAAGAAUGGAAAAGAAAACAUAAAGAUCAGGUCAGAACAAACUAUAAAACCUAUCAUAUGAAUCCGCGACGUUCACAAUGAACAGAGGAAGAAUUGCAGUAUCCUAUCCUUCAUCUUGAUCCAAAGCAUCCAAUGCCUGAUAUAAUACCUUGAUGGAAACAAAAUUCGUGCCAGAAAUAUUCAGUUUCACGGAUCCUUCGACUGUUACAGAAGAAUUCUCAGUGAGAUACAAAAGGCAACAUGAAAAAUGAAACGGAUGUGGUAAAAAGGGGCAGGCCACUUCACAAAUAUAUACUACUAACAGUUACCUCAAGAUACUGGGACAGGCUAGGUGAAGAAUGGGCAAGCCCUGUGCCUGAAUAUGAAAGUGCAUACUCUUCUAUAUUCUCUAACCUGAAAAGUAACCAUACACUCAUAGUUAGAACAUAAUGUCCAUGAAACUCAUCCAGAUCGUAUUAGUAUCAGCAGUAGCCCAAUAGAGGCAUACCUGUAAAGAUAAUUGACCAUGAUACCUCCACUUUGUUGAAUGCCCUUCUCUGAUUGGUCAGCCAUCCAGUUUAUUCUCUCAAUCAUCUGCCAAAUAGCUAGUGCUGUUAUGUCAAGCCACCAAAUUAUUUCAAAUACCUAAUCAUCUUACCAUUAGGCCCAAAUUUAUGAAUAAAAAAUUGCAUAAAAUGACUUACAACAGUAAAACUACCAGAGUACAAUAUUACAACAUGGUUCAUGGAAAAUCAAUUGAUUUUUUUCCUGGAAUAGGUAAACCAGACAUAAGUUUCUGUUUUCUAAACACCACAAAACAACAUAUGCUCCUCAGCGUUUAAAAUUUGAAACUGAGUAUGUGAUGCUGGCUAACUUACUGCUCCGUUUUGCAAGUGAAAAUUUGCAACAGCAUCUAGAGCUUUUCCUCUGAUUUUCUCUCUGGCAAGAUACCUACAUUAUCAACAGUUGCAAUUUAUAUAUGGCAUUCCACUUACUCAGAAAAUGAACUAAUGCACAAACAGAGAAAAAUGUUUUUGCAUACCUUGCACACAAACGCAUUAGAGGAGAUUUCAACGCAGCAGAUAAUUUUUCAGACUUUACCCAUUGACUUGUUUUCAGUAUAUCUUGCAAUAGUUCAAUUCCUUGUUUCCCAUGAGCUUGUUCACUGCAACGAUAGUAGUAACUUUGAUCAAAGAUCAUGAAGCAACUUUAAGAUUUUACCCUCUUUCUAUGUUAUUUUUUCCUUUAACACGUAGGAGACUUGCAUAUGUUUGUAUUACCCAUUUCUAUGUUGAAUAGCCACGAACAUAAAAAAUGAGUUGAUGGAUUACAGAAAAUACUGCAUGUACCCAGAAAUUGAAAACAACAGACUCAUCCAUUUUUAAAUACAUGACGUUUAGGACAGGUUGAUUAGUUCAUUUUUCAACUAAUUAGCUUGCACUUUUUUAUAUAUGACACUUAGGACAAACUAACUAGUACAUUUUUAACUAAUUAGUUUGUCCUAAAUGUCAUAUAUUCAAAAUGGAGAAUAAAACAAGAACUGCACCAAAAACAGGGAAGCUCAAUUUGCAACAUUAUCUUGGAAUGGAACAUACAUGGCAUCAUGAAUCAUCUUCUCUUCCUCGGGAAGAAGGAUGGAUUCUCUGAAAGUAGAGCUAGCUCCUUCGAAUGAAUUCCCCUCUUGCGAUUCUGUCUGUGCUAAUUUUAUUUGGGAGGCCAGUUUAGCACGAAGCCAUUGCAUGAAACCAGGGAUUGGGCUAAGUGUUGCAAAAAUCUGCAUGAAGCAUCAACAAAGAAGUAUAUGAUGUUUGAUGUAUCAGUAAACAUAGCUAACAGCUUAACAUGAGCUUAGUAAGUCUGGUGAAUUAUUUGCUAUGUGAAGAAAAACUGAGCUUAGUAACAUGAGCUUAGUAAGUCUGGUGAAUUAUUUACAGGAACUGUAUGUACUGCACUUUUAAGCGAAACAAUCAACGGACACUCAUAGAAGCCAAAGCUAUUUCAUUUGCAGCGAUAGAUAUAUACGGAAAAUAAGAACUAAGAUGUGCGUGUAAUAGUGAUGAUCAGCAAUACAUAUUAGAAGGGGUACCUGUACUGAAGGCAUAUCUCGUCUCAACAUGUCAAUCACACGCUUGAGAAGAAACUUCCCCAGAUUAAUACCUGAUAAGCCAGGCUGGCAAUAUUAAUAGACGGUCAGUUCUAGACUUCUAGGCACCAGUUCGCUAGUGCCUAUCACGGAACUAAAUUUGUUAGCAACUUUGUUUACCUGGGUAGACGAUAUUGAAUAAAACAGUGCACAGCUGGCUUCAGAUUCAGGAGUCGGGGGGUCAUCCCACAAGACCUCCUAGUAUGAGAAAAGAAGAACAUAAGGUGCUGUGCAGUAGAAUACUAAUUUAGUCAAAUAUAACUACGACGGUCUAAUAACCUGUAUAGAUGCAGCCAUAUCUUUGUGUAAAGCAACUUCGAUGAAAAUCAGGGGCUCCCCUAAUGUUAACAAAGGCAGUAAGAGCACUCAGAGAAAGUAACUGCGGUUGGGGGAAAAUCAUCCGAAAAAAGCUAGUCGUUACACUUAAAUUCUUAACAACUACUCCGUAGAUAAUUGAUGACAUGCACUUCUUUCAUCCUUAUGGAAAAUUAAUGGUAUGUGUAAGAAAAAUGGCUAUGAAAUUAUAAAACUAUAUAUGAGUUACUUGGAACUUGGAAGACUAGAUUCAGCUGCAGCAUCAACAGUAGGCAGUAAUACUCUAGAAGUGCAGCAAGCCACAAAUAGCAACCAAACAGUCAGUCUGACAUUCUGACCUGGUAUUGCUGGAUGGAAGUAGCCAAAGCAACGGCGACCAACACCCAAUCUUCUCUUCAAGUCUAUCAGGUUUCUGAUUGGAUGCACUGCCUAAAUAGUGAAAACAAAAACAUCAGUUGAAACACCACAGUAACAAAUCAGGCUGCGCCAAAUCAAAUCUACAGGGAAUAGGCCACCAACCUCAUAUGCCACAAUCUUCUCUAGCAAGGAGGCAGGAUCAUCCCAUGUUAUCUGGUGGAGCGUCAAUGCUGCAGGGCUGAGCCAGGUCACCAGUUUCUCCUUCAAGUACGAGUCCAGGGCGCGCAGUGCCGGAGCGUUCUCCUCCCUGCGUUGCAACAUUGGGAUCAGCAAGGCCUUCAAUCCCCAAGUUUCUCAUAACAACAACAGCAAAGCAUCGCAAUGGCAGUGCUGAGGGCAAACAAUCUCACCCCAGCAAGGCCAGGAGGUCGGCGCGGAGCACCGCGAGGAGCUUGAGCCCGCCUGGUUGCGCGUUCAUGGCCUCGAGGAACCCGGAGUACCGGGGCCGGAGCGCGUCCCGGAGCCCCCUCUCCAUCCGGUACAGCGCCGCCGCGGAGCCCUCCUUCCCCUCCUCCACCGUCGCGUCAUCCCCGCCUGCCGCCGCGGCGGAGGCGACGCUCAUGUACUGUCUCAUGAGGUCCCGGACGCGCGCGCGGGGCACGUCGUAGUCGGUGGCGAGGGAGCGGAGGACCUCGCGGCGCCCGACGCGGUCGAGGGAGCGGUACCCGUCGGAGAAGUUAUCGAGCGUCGCGGGGGGCGGGGAGGCGGCGGAGGCAGCGGCAUGGAGCCAGUGGAGAACGGAAGCCGCGGGCGGGGCGGCGGGGUCUGGGUCAGUGGGCGGAGGAGGAGGGGACAGUUGCGGCGGCGGGGAGGGGAGGGCGUCCGGGUGCAUGCGGGCGCGGAGGAGGACGGCGAGCGACUUCGAGGUGUGGUUCCUGGUCAUGUGACGCGGUCGGAGUAGCCGCCGGCGACGCGGCCGGAGGCGGAGGCAGGGCGGGUGACGGCGCCGGCGACGGCGCUGUGCCAAUUUUGCGGUUGGGUUCGGCCGUUCGGGUGGUGAGGUGUCAGCGUGUCCCACUACUCGCCUUUCUGUAGACGAAAGGGCGCAGCCGGUCCCCAGACUUGCCCGGUUACCAAACUAGCAGAUCGCUUUUUUUUAGAUCUAAACUUUGUUUGGAUCUCGUUUGCGUCCAAUCUGACUUCACCGUUAUUAGCUAACAUGGCGAUGCCACCGUGUCUCACACACGUGGCAGGGAUACUGCUGGGCUGCCUAAAUUUGCAAAGAAGCCUUCACAUGUGUCAGACCUCUCAUUUAUCUCCUCGGUUACCUCUCUGCCGUGGUCGACGAGGGUCUGUGCGGCGGCGAUCGAGGAUGAACAGAUGGAGGUAGUGCGGCGGUGAUUGGGGAGGAAAAGAGGAAGCCCAUGUAGAAGGAAGCACCGAAUGUGGUGCAGGCCACCGCCGCGACGGGAUGGUGACGAGACUGCGAGGCAAAGGGGAAUCGGUUCCGAACUACGGUGAGUACCCUGAUUUCUCUGCCACAUCGAUUGUAGGGAUAGGUGUAGGGAUUGGAUUUUAGAGUGUGAUUCUAGAGUAUUAAGUUGAAAAACUUGGAUUUGGCAGAUGGGAUUGUUGAUUUGGGGAUAAUUUGUUAGGGUUUUGGUUUUGAUAUAGGUUUUAGAAUUUUGGGGAAAAACUUAAAAUUUCGAGAUGUUGCAUCUGAUCAAUUUGAUUUGCUUGAUCAAUUUGAUUUGCUCGUGCAUUAUAGGUCCUAGUUCAUAUGAGUUCAGUAUUGAGGUUCACCAUGGGGGUUUCUUCAUUGGAUUUGGUCAUAUGUGGGUGAGAAGAUCCACUUGUUUGAUAGGAUUGAGACUGAUACUUUGAGUCCUUUGUGGUUCGAGGAUUUUGUUCAACAGCUUGGUUAUGUGAGUAACAGCAACAUCAAGUAUUAUUGGUUGUUACCAGGGAAGACCUUAGCUGAUGGAUUGAGAGUGAUAGCUUCUGACCAUGACACCAAUGUGAUGGCAUCAGUGGUACAAAAGGUCAAGUGUUUAUUGAUCAUGAUGACAAUAUGGGACUUGAUUGGGAAGAUGUGGUUGUCAAUUAAGUUGCUGAUCUGCCUAAGGUUAUUAGCUCACAGAAAGUUGAGUAUAUUGAUAGGAAAACUAGUGAGAAAUUACCAGUAUUCUAUAAUGACUUGAAGAAAGAUAGAGUUGAGCAAGAUGGUCUUAUUCAGGAAGAGUACAAGGAAUAUGCGCAUGAUGAGGAGUUCAUAGACAGUGACAAUGACAUAGAUGCUAGUGAUGAGGACUUGUUGGAGGAUGCUGUUGAAAUGGAUGUGAUAAGAAAGCAAGAGGAAGCAAGCUGAAGUCAUAUGAGAUAAAUAGACAUGCACAAGUCAGUGAUGAUGAGGAUAGUAAUGAUGAGGGUUUGGAGCUGCUAGAUUUAGAUGGGGAAGAUAGGCUGAAGUUCAAAUCUUUGAAUGAAGAGGACAUCAACAAUCCAACAUUCUUUAUUUGACAAGUGUUUCAAUCUGCAAAAAAGUUGAGAGAGGUAAUUAUAGAAUACAGUGUGAGGAACAGGGUUGAAAUCCUACUGCCCAGGAAUGACAGCAGAAGGAUAAGGGGUCAUCGUGCUGAAGGUUUUCCAUGAACUUUAUAUGCUUCAAUGGAUAGUAGGAUUCAGUCAUUUGUUAUGAAGAUAUACUAUGGAGUUCACAAUUGUUAGAAAGAGUGCAUACUUAGGAGGUGCACUUCUAGGUGGUUGUUUAAUAAGUACACUGAUUUGUUUAGAGCCAAUGAGAAGAUGAGCAUCACCAAGUUUGUCAAGACAGUCCAAAAGAUUUGAACUUGACCAUUUCCAAGAGCAAGCUUGCUAGAGCAAUAAGGCUGAUUUUAAGUUCUAUUCAUGGAGAUGAGAUCCAACGGUACAAUUACUUGUGGGACUAUGCAGAAGAGUUGAGGAGAAGCAAUCCUAGGAGCACAUUCUACUUAAAUUGUACUAAAAACUUGUUUAGUACAUGUUACAUGUCACUGAAUGCAUGCAAGAGGGGUUUUUUGACUGGAUGUAGGCCCAUCAUCUGUCUAGAUGGAUAUCAUAUUAAGACCAAGUUUGGAGGUCACCGUAGAUGAAGAGGACACCAUUUGGAGCCGGCAUCUUGAGGAUGAGGUAGGUGCAAUGUGGAAUCGCCACGAACCUCGCAAGCAUGGGUCUGCUAAAGAUGACAUGGUAGGAAGUUUUGAAAUUAGCCACCUCGAAGGUAAGGUGCUCCGUACGGUAGUUGUCAGGCGUGCCAAAGCUGACUGGCAAAACAACUCAGCCGAUAGGAUAGGAUCCCUUGCCGGGUACGAUGUCAUAGAAGGGGUCUUCACAGGGCUGGAUGUGGUCGAAAUUGAAGUCCAUGCACUUCAGAGUUUCGGCGAAGAUGAUGUUAAGCCCGCCGCCGCUGUCAAUUAGCACUUUGGGGAGGAGGGCCCGGUCUAUGGUCGGGCAGACCACCAACGGUUAGGACCCGAGAUCUGGAAUGUGUAUCCAGUGAUCUUCCUCGCAGAUACUGGACUGGACGUAUGGAGAAUGAGUGCACCUCUCAUUGGUGCAGCUUGUGUUUACGAUUGCUGCAGAACACCUUGGGGCCGCCCAUGAUGAUGUUGACUUGAUGGUUCGGUCACUGGAACUCCCCGUUCUGGUCGGCGCCGACCCGGUGGGCGUCUGGGUUUGGCUAGUCACGGUGCUCCUCUUUGUGAUAAUCAUUGCGGUCAUCACGUUGGCGGUUGUUGCGGUGAUCGUGGCGGCGGUCACGAUCGUCGCGAUCAUCACGACGAUGGUCAUGGUCGUCACGGCAACGGUUGCCGCGGUCAUCACGGUCAUUGCGGCGGCGGUUGUCGCGACAAUUGUCGUCCCUUCGGUAGUCGUUUUGGCAAGGUCACUUGUACUCCAUCAGGGUGCCGAGCUCUUUCUUGAGGAUUGUGCAGUCCCGAAGAUUGUGACGUGCGUUCUUAUGGAAAGGGCACGGAGCAUUCAGGGUGUCAUCGAACUCUUCUCGAAGGAAGGUGGUUGGUCUGGCGGGGUCGGCUUCAGCAGUGAGGACCUCGGGGGGUCUUUUUUUAAGUCGGGAGGACUUCGGUCGUGCUUGGUGUUCCUCAUAGGUCAGCUGUUUGUGGUUGUCGUUCUGGCAGUGCUCGCCGUCCUAGAACUGUACUUGUGUUGCCUCCUCUGUGUCGGACUGAACGUUGGUGAGCUGCAUCAUCUACCCGACCAUCUUGGGGGUAGCCUCAUACAGCUUGCAGAACAUGUUGCGGUUCAUCAGGCUAGAGUGGAAGUACUAGAUGAUGUCGCGGUCCUCGACUCCGGCCAGCCUGUUGCGGUUCUCGAAGAAGUGGUUCACAUACUCUCAGAGAGUUUCGUUCUUCCACUGGCAGACUUGCCCAAGAUUCUCCGUGUUUCCAGGUUGGUUGUAGGUAGCCUGGUAGUUCUGGGUGAAAGCCCUAGCGAGCUGACCCCAGGUAUUGAUGCUGCUCGGUGGAAAGUUCUCUAGCCACAGGAGAGGGGCGGGGCCAUCACUACCGGGAAAUAGGUGGCCAUCUGGUCGUAUGUGCCGUUGGCGGCUUUCUCCGCGGUGCUGUACAUUUUGAGCCAUAUAGUGGGGUCGGAGCGGCCGUCGUACUUUUCGUUGAUAGCCAACUUGAACAAGGCAGGCCACUCAACGGCUUUGAGGCGGGGAGUGCAGGCGGCAAAACCAUCGUUUGUUGUGUCAUCAUCGUCCUCGAGGUUAUAUUCGACGGGUGGUGCCUCGGGGCGUCCAUCGUUGUUGCGCCUGGGUGGGACAUAGGCGUCUUCAGGGGCGUCGUACAUGCAGUCGUAGUCGACACGGCGAUGCAUUUCAUCUUCUUGGCAUCGACGAUCCUCCCGUUCUGCGUUGCAGUUUAGCCUGCCAGGAGCACCGUUGUCACGGUCGUACUCAGUGUGGCGGUGGAGCUCGACCUCUUUCCAGUCUUGGUGGCGGUUGUUGAGGUCGGCGCGGAGGUCACGGCGAUCGUGUAGCUGUUCGGGGAGGUCGGGUUGCCGAUCUUGUCUGUCACGGUUCUUGCCAUCGCCUCUCCUGCGACAGCAGCUGUUGUCGUGGUUAUCGAGUUGAUGGGCGUUGUUAGCGGGCGGGUUGGCGGGUUGCUCCACCUUCUCGUCAUGGACGGGCUCUAGCUGACCUCCCACGUGGUUAUUGUGGCCGCCUCGGUGGUGACCGGAUCCGCUAUGAGUAGAUCGAUCAGCUUCGAGAGUGCUGAGUAGAUGUGGACUAGGAGUGUGUUGACUGGCUUUGGGCCUGCUCUUCGAUCUGGGCGUUGGCGACGCGGAUACGUGCAUGGAUCCGCCAGAGUAGCUUCAAGUCUGGAAGGUUUUUCAGAUCGGCGAAGGUAGCCCCCAGGUUAGCCUGGAGUAUGGUGAAGACAUUGUGGGCAGCCUCCUCGAGGUCGGCUUGUAGAUUGCAGGCAUGCAUAGGGCGCCUGCGCUGCCUCAGGCAUCGUCCUGGUCAGCGUUGUCACCAUCGUUGGCGCGUUGUGGGUCGACGUUGGCGGCGGGCGGUGGUCAGCGCUGGUCAUCCGCUGCAUCAGUUCCCAUGUUAGCAGCAGGUUGUUGACGUUGCUGGGUGUCGGCUUGCUCCCAUUGGUACUAUACUGCACGGUCCCAAUUCUUGCCAUUGCAACCUUCUUCUUGAGAAGAUAUUUUUCCAUCCCUGGGUGGAUCGUCGGCGGAGACCACAAAGGCUUCACGAUCUGGCAUGGUAGAGUUGCUCUCGACGUCGUCUCCAUAAGGGUUCCGUGUUAGGAUGAUGCGGGGGUUCUGGAACUCGCCACAGUCUAGAAACUAGGCAGGUCUGGUGGGUCUUCAAAUUUGAUCUGAAGAGACUGCGCGAGUUUCACGGAAAACACGGCAGCCGAGUUCCUCAAACAAAAGGGGGCGUGGGAACGACCCUGUGCUGACCUUAUGGCUGCUCUACCCUCAAGUUGCCCCAUCAUGUACUAGAUCUAUUGCUCUGCUGCGGCCUACAGGAUCCAAUAGCUACUCCAUCCACCCGAUAUUCUCUAUGGUUCCCACUAUCACCCUAUUCUGCAACAACUACGAUUGUUGUAUUUUGGAGGAUAGACGACCAUUGGGCAGGUGCAAAUUUUCACCCAUUAGUCUAGCUCUAACUGCUAGCCCUACUCGCCAGCAGCUAUGGAGAUUGGCAGUAGCCAACAAUGUUGAUUGAAUAUGCAACUCUCCCCCUCUCUCUCCUCCCCUCCCUCCUCUCUCUCCCACUUCUUUCCUCUACCUUCCUACCUCUCUCUCUAUAGCUACCUCUAGUGAUGAUGAUUGUCGUGAUGAGAAUUGUGUCAGGUUAGGUGCGGUGACCUCAUUAUUGGGCGGCCACCAUGUUUCUCGAGGGUUCUUAUUCUCAUAUGUCCUUAUAUAUGGCCAUGCGGAUGCCUCGCUAUUGCUAGUACGGGUAGGCCCUCUUUCACAGUGAUUUGUCUCUAGGAUCCAUUAUUUGUUUCUUUCUCCUUCUAAUAUUUCACGUACACCAUGGUUUGUAGUUACUUGCAAAGAAGUGGCUUGCAUCUUCUAGCUCUCUAUGUUGCAUGAAGUUAGCAAGCAUCCAUGACAGAUACUAUAAUGUACCUAGAUGAAAGGCUUAAGAAAAAGCAAGCAUCCAUGGUGCAAUUUGUUGCCACCAACAUUCACACUUCUUGUGUUCAAUUUAUGCACUAUGCUUUUGCUUCGCCUUACGUAGAUUCCUCCACUCUUCUAUCUUGUGGCCCUAAGCUGAUGACUAAAGUCCAUCAGGAGGUUAUGGCCCUCGAUGUUGCACAAAGUUAGCACACGUUCAUGGUGCAAGUUGUUGCUACCGACAUCCACACUUCCAUUGUUUGAUUUAUGCACUAUGGCUCUGCUGUCGUCCCAUGUAUACGCCUCCACUCUUCUAUCUCGUGGCCCUAAGCUGUCGACUAAAGUCCACCAAGAGAUUGGGUAUGGUCUCGUUGCAAAAGCUACAUGACCUUAAAAUUGAAUGAGUUUGGUACAUGGGUUCUCUUCUCUAAUACUAAGCAUUACAGUCAUAAAACUCAAUUAUCUAUAUAUUCUUUUUUAUUAAUAUGAUAAUUUCUUAACUCUCUUGAUGAACAUGAUGACUUCUUAACGCUAUGUUAUUGAGAUAAUAAUAAAUUAUACUGAAGGAAAGUGCAAGAGAAAAUAGAGAAAUAAGGAAAACUGUUUGCGGCUAGUUUAUUUUUUGUUUUGUUUUGCUAAAAAAGAAAAGAUGUUUGGUAUGUAGAAGUAAAAAGUAUACAUUUGAAUGCCUCGUUCAUGCAAGGAUGCGAUACGUAUGCAAAAAGAAACAAAAGAUAUUUAGAAAUUUGUUUUGUUACUCUGACUCUUCUCUAAUUGAGAUAUGAUUUAUUUCCAAACACAUUUUUUCUCAUCCCUACCAUAUCUUAUCAAUGUAGCAGGUUGAGUCCAUGUAGGUUUAAAACCACCUCCCAUAUCAUAUUUCGUAGAUAAUAUUUUUAAUUUUUAAUUUAAAUAUUUAUUUGUCUUAUACGAUAUGGUCUCUUUAGAUUAAUAUAGACCGAUUAAUAUGACCGCUAGAUCUUAUAAACUUGGAAAUAUGGAAGACAUAAUAUAUAACUUAGGAGUAGGCAGUUAGAUUAAACCAAAGGUCCUUUAUGAAGAUCUUCACAAAAAUUUGGUUUAAUCAACUUUAUCUGCUGUAGGCAGUUAAAUGAUCAUAAAAUCCAACACUUAUAUUAUUCAAAUUAACUUGGAAAUUGCUAACCCUUAAGAGUACACGUGGUGGCUUAUACCUACAACAAUAUUGAGAUAAUAGAUUACCUUUCGAAAAAGGAGUAAUAGAUUACUUAUAGUUUACUUCUAUAACUAUCAUAUAUAUAGACUGCCUGAAUAUUUUCUUAAGACAUUGUCUUAUUUCUAGAUAAUCAAUGAUGAAUUGUUUCUUACGUAUCUUUCCAAUUGUUGCUCAUAUUAUAUCUUUCUCAGAAUAAACUUGUUCAGUCACAUCCAGUUGGGACGUCCUCGUCCCCUAAAUUUCUUGCCAUAGAAUCCCAUUUGUUUUAGUUCGAGAAGCAGAACUUAUCAAUGUAUCCAUGUACUCGAGUGGGCACUCUCUUACUCUGCUAUUUCCAGCUUGUUAGUGCUUUUUUAGACUGUUUGUUAGUGCUUAAAUACCGCUUUCUUUACCACAAUUAUCCAUCUCCACAGCACUUCCAUUGCUUUUGCUAGUAUCACACACAACACCAAGGACAGCAUGCCAACGCUAAUAUUUUGAAGCCCUCGUCUUUAGAUUUGCAUAUAUCCUUCCACGGAGUUCGUUGUCAGUGGAGCAUCGUUGUAGGAGACACAGCCGGUGGAGCAGCAUCGACGGGAGUGCUUUGGAGGCGGUUGUCACGAUACACUGAGAGAGUGGCGACCGUGCAUAGGUAGUGCGUCUCGGCAGCAUCAAGGACAUGGCCACAUGGCCUUGCGGGAUCAUCGGAUAGGCUUGUGCGAAGGACGGCGAAGUUGAUCGCCUUGGACGAUCGCAGCGACCGGCGUGUUAGAUGACUACCGCAUAAGAAGCGUUCCUUGCUUUCUUUCCUUGCAUAGGUGGCGAGGUAUUUUUUUUAGGAAAGUUUAUUUCCUAAUAGAGAAGAACCAAAGUUAAAUCAAUAAAGACUUGUAUCUCGAUGUGUUUUCAAUUAUAGCAAUUUAAUAUAUAUAUAUAUAUAAUUAAUUGUAUCCCACAUGGACUUUUUGAGUUAAUCUAAGACCAUUAGAUCUUCAUAUAAUCCAAUGGUGUAUAUUCUUCUCUUUUUUUAGGUUAACGUGGGAAUUUCUAGACCCUCUCGGUGAACGUGUUGGCUUCUUUUAACACUAUUGUAUUAAGAUAAGUAGAGAGGUUGCCCGCGCAAAUAGCGGAGGUAGCUAGUUUUCUUUCGUACUAAUAUUUAUGUUUAUUUACUUAAAAAUAUUUUUUUAUUUGAAUGAUUUUGUGUUGUUCUUUCAUUAUCCUUGUUUUUUAAUCAAAGUGGCGUGGGGCAAAAUAUUCUUAUGUAGCAUGGAACAUGAAUUCGUUUUCAAUAUAAAAGAGAAUAGUUAUGUAGAAACAUAGUUUUCGAUAUUUAUUGAAAGUAAUAAAAUUAUUUUUGUCUUUAGUUGUAUUUCAUCAUCAUAAAAGUUGAAGCCUUCUCGAUGCGAGCUCCUCCUUGUGCUAACCACGUGAUUGUACUUAUAGAUAGAUGGCAUUGAUCUACGAUCAAUACAUUUUGCCUUUUGUUACAUACUAAUCAAGGCUGCUUCAAUUCUAUUCAACACAAAUUCUAAUUUCAAUAUGGAGUUUGAGUUGCAAUAUCCAUGUAUUACUCCAAUUUAUUUUUUUCUCAUAUCUACGUUUUAUCCAUUCUUUUUUAAAAAAUCUAACCGUUAAAUCUAUACUUGCAUUACCAAUGUGGCUUCACUCGUUCUAAGCUAGGAUGUUGGAUCUCCUCAGCUUUUUCCCCUCAUCGCACCCCUGCUGAUUUAAUAAAUAAGUUAGAGCUAACCUUUACAUUGUGCGCUAUGCUAAUCAUUUGCAGUCUUUUUUCAAUGUUUUACACGAUUAUUUUAAUUUGGAGCUUUCAAUCAAAAUAGUUUUAUUGUGCAUAUAUCAAGGUAAUAUAUCUUCACCUUUUGGCUAAGUCAAAAAACUUCUUUGAUCUUUGAAAAAAAUAUUAAAUCCUAGCUUCUCUAUUUACCCUUCAAUGACCUCUCCUCUUGUAACAUCAAUAUUGUUUACAAAUCUUCUUUUAAAUAUUUUUUGUAUUUAUUUGAUUUCUUUGUCGAUUGGUUUGAUGUUAUUUUUUUGGAGUUUCUGGCUUGUAGCACUUUAUCAACCUUUCUGGAUUUCUUCACAUUGAAAAUUCCAUAAUCAAAUAUGUUAGAAUACUAAAUUAUGUAUUCAGAUUAUGGCCUACUCUAUGUUGUGUUUGUGUCUACUAUUGACCAGCCCUCUGCUUGGCGUGUGCUACCUGAUAAGGUGGUUUGUAUCACCACUGCUCAAGUUUGACUCUGGCCAUUAAUAGAUUUGGCGAUUAACGUGCACUUGACUACCCAACCAUUAUCGCUUUUACCCACAUAUUCGUGCCAUCAUCUACCAUUGUCAUUCCUCCUCCUCUCUAUCCCCAUGUGGUAGCUUCAAUCAAUGUAUCGCUCCCCACAGGUUCGUGCCGUCAUCUACCGUCGUCAUUGCACCUGCUCUCUACCACCGUGUGGUAGCUUCAAUUGACGUAUCGCUCCCAUAUAAACCUCAUGUCGUAUCGCUCCCAUAUAAGCCUCAUGCCGUAUCGCUCCCAUGUAAGCCUCAUGCCGUGUGCACCAUGCGCACUACUGCGCACUACUGCAUCCAAAGACCAACGGCACAAACGACGGAUUAUUGACCAAACACUAAUCUUAAAGCAGAUAAUAUCUCCUAUUGGAAAUUGAGGUGGUCUUAAUACCCACUAAUCUAAGGACCUACACCUAGGACACCAACUCACUCUGGAGUCGGUCAACCCUUUUAAUUUCUAGUUACUUAGUGCGACAGGUUCUUUUGAUGGCAGAGCCAUCUUCUCACUUCUGGGUGGCAGAGCCUACUAACAGAUGAAGAUGACUUCCGGGUGGCAGAGCCAACCUACGAUGAAGUCCAAACCUUGUGAUCCCGAGUGACAGAGCCAACCUUCGAUGGAUCACAACUUAUGCACUAAGUACUUAGAAACUAUAUGGUCCAACCGGUCCAACAGGGAGACUAACACUAAUAAGAAACAUAACUUUGUUACAACACAACAAUAUUACACAAGAGUGUACAACACCCUCUCUUUAGUGGCUAGCCUAGCUCCCACCCUUUACUUCUACCAUAGUCCACUCAUCUAUCAUGCUCAUGGUUGAAUGGCAUGGUAAGGAAGGGGAUAUCUAUUUGUAGGCUAAGGAAGUUCAUAGGAUGAUGACAUGUGUCCCCUUCUAGAUUUUUCACUAGAUAAAUAUCUAUGUUCUACACUAUUUUAAUUUCUUCAUGGCAACAACAUCUAGUACCUUCAUGAAAAAUAUCAUGGAUCAUGAGUUGUGGGGAAGGCUCUAGAAGUUUGUAUUGCUUUCCCUCAACAUCUCCUUCUCUUCUCAUUUUAGCUUGCCAUGCAUGAUUGUGAAGUUUAUUGCCGAGGCAAAAUCAAGCUCAUCUUCUGUGACUCUUGGCUGGUUCUUCACCAACAUGUGCAUGCUUGAUCGAUUUGCAUUGGCAUCCGGUGCGUUAUUUGCUGCAUCCUCCGCUAUCAUUCUUGGCUCGAUUUGCAUGUGCACGCAUAUUGUAGUUGCAGAGGCCAUCCAUCCAUCAUACCGUUUCUUUGACCAGCCAAGCCUAGCUAAUGUAUCAUGCUAAUCCAAUAUGGCACUGGCAUGGAAUGAUCUUUGGGUAUUAUGUGGUCGUGUGUGUGUUGUUUUUACGACGAUGGAGAUGAAUCUCUAGUACAAAGAGGGAGAGAUCUCAACUUCUGAAGCAUGCAAUGCAAUUGCAAUGCCAGGUGGAAAAGCAAGGCUAAACCGUUGCUGAUGUGCGUGUUGGCCGAGCUAGUUCAAUCAUCGCUGAAUUCACUUGUCAUAGUUAUACAUGCUUGGCCAUAUCCGCAUCAGCUCGAACAAAAGGAUAGUUGCGCUAUACAUUUGCGUUUGUAACUCAUUUUCCUUUUCUAUUCUUACGUGCUAAGGUAUGAGACUUGUUUUGGCUACUAAACAUUCUUUUUAACAUGCUAAAUCCAAUUGUUUGAGACCCCACGCAUGUAUCUCCUUCCAUAUCUUCUCAGUGUCCUGGUAGGAUUGUUACUUUUUUUUUCUCAAGUUCAAAUUCCAAAGCUAGCUGCAUAGUAAAUUAUAUUUAACAUGGAUUGUUUGUUUAAACAUAGGCCAUUAGAUCUCCAUAAAAUUCAAUGGUAUAUAUUUUUAUCUUUUUUAGAUUAAUGUGAUAAUUUCUUAACCCUCUCAGCAAACGUGGUGAUUUUUUUUAACACUGUUGUACUAAGGCGGAUAAACCUUUCGGUCCCGUACCCGACGCAUGCGAACCGCUUCGUCGGCCUCGCACGUCGUCCUACCAUCAAUCGUUUUGUAUCGUCCGACUAUUAGCAUCCUAACACAAUCGCUCCGCUCGCUAAUUGCCCCGCCCCCGCUCCCUGUUUUUCCGCGUGCUAUCGGCGCCCGCAUGCAAUCGAAGCAGCCCACCCAAGCGCAACAACAAGGACAUAAGUUAUCGUCCUAUACUCCGGCCUGAUUUAUUCCUUCUCUCUUUCAUUCUCCAUUCUUUAUCUUAUGGUGAUCAAAACCACGUUCUAAGCGAUCCAUAUCAUGAUUCCCUUUGCAUACCGAUACGUCGAUCCUGGACUGCUCCGUGGUUUGCGCCGCCACCGGCCAGCCAGCCAUGACGCGCCUCCGAGCCUAGCCCGCCGCCUUGGUCCGUGGUGUAGCCGGAUCAUUGGCAAAUUGAGGCCUACGAUCCUGGGGUUUGCUCUAUUUGCGUCAUCGCCUUUCACCUUCACGCGGUCAUGCCAACCUGGUGGGGAUGUCUACAACCGGCGGCGCCAUGCUCACAUCGCACGGGUUACAAACGAUGGAAGUUGUCGCCGUUCGCGUGUCGCGAUCAAGAUCUCUUUGUGCUGCGUGGCCGGUGGAUCGGACACCUGUGCGAAACACCUACUCGCCUGUGAUGAGGGCCGCCGCUCUCCUUUUCUGUCCUGAACGGGUGUGCGGGCUCCGAUACUCUCCUGCGUUGGGCGCUGUCGCAUUGGCAAGGUCGUCGGGUGUCGUGGGCGAACGCGUCACGCACGACAGCACGACGCGGUGUGCUGGCCGGGGCGGCGGCGAGCGCUGGACAGAAGACAGAGGAUAGAACGGGCGGUGGGCGGUCGCUUAUGGCGGCAUGCAUGCAUGGGCGGUGGCAACCUGCGGAUAAAACACAGGAGCCAUGCAGUUGUGUCGAGCGAAAAAAAAGCAAGGGCGGGGGGCAGCACUGCUGCAACGACGAACAGGAACUGCCUCUCGUCGCCAGGCCUCUUCUCUCCUCAACAUGGAACUUAAACUUAUUGUUAUAGGAAAUAAUGUUUACAAAGUUGCUAGUCUGAUAGUCUCUUUCCGUUUGUAUUGGAUGCAGAGUGCUAAUUUAUUUGAUUUUUAAUUCGGAUGUUUAGAAUUCCAAUUUUUAUAUAUUAUAACUUAUAUUCGAUAAGGACUCUUUAAUCUAAUAUAGACUGUUAGAUGUACUGAAAUAUGAGCUUGAGUAUUUGAUGGUGCAACUCCUGAAGGCAGUAAACCCACAAAAGGUUUCAAACUUUUUUUUUGUCUAAUGGUUGAGGGACAGAUACCUAAUUACUAUGCAUUUUUUUAAAACUGUGUCGAUUCUGUCCAUCGACCAAAAUUUACAAGAACGAGCAAGGUACCAAGGUCCAAAUAUACAUUGAGAAAGCCCAGUUCAAAAGCUAUUAUUGUCCCAGAGUAAUAUAUGGUAGGCCCAGAUGAGAUGGGAAAUAGAAGCGCACAAUUCAAGUUUUCAUAUAACUGUCCAGAGGUAUGCAAAUUUCUUCAGAUCGCAUAUGGCCAUAGGGGGCAUGCACGAAGAACAUAGUGCAUUUCCUCCACAUUCAGAUUUCGGAAACACCCGCCAAGAAAAGAUCAGCUCAAGAACAAAAACAAACAUACACAAAGAUGCAUGUAAUGGUCUAUUUGACUAUGUAUUUACCUGUUCUCCCAGUAAACAUUACAGUUUCUUUUCAGUUCUGAGACACCUACAUUAAGCAUACAGGUAAUUUUGCACACCUUUUUCUUCUCCUUAUUCCUCCACUAUGAUUCCUGUUCUUUCUUUCUUUCACUAAUCAAAACUCUCUCUUUCUUUAUCUUUCUCAUAUUAACACUUCAAAAAAAUUUAAUUAUAUGGAAGCUAGUAAUUAAAGCUUAUUACGAGAAAGAAAAAAGAAUUUCCCUGCCUCCGGAACCAUCCUUUUUAUCUACACUCCGCCGCCUCAUCAGCCGUCCCCCUCCUGCACCCCUCCGGCGCCGCCGUGGCGGCGGCCAGCCGGUGGAGCCUGGCAAAGACGCCGACCAUGGGCGCGGUGUUGUACGUGCAGGCCUCGGUCUGCAUGUAGUUCCCGCGGUCGUCCCGGAACUCGUCCCGGCAGUUGGGCCCGCCGACGAUGGCGCCGGCGAGCACGUUGGGGUUGGCCCGGCCCCGCCCGAACCAGUCGUCGAACCCCUGCAUGCACCCGAUGAAUCGGCUGUUGGCCUUGUGCGCGACGAUGGAGGCGCCGCGGUGGUGCACGCGCACCGGGUACCGGCGGCCGUAGCCGACCAUGUAGCUGAGCCCCAGCGGGUUGCGGCCCAGGAUGUAGUCGGCCUGCGACCGCGCCAGGGCCAGCAGGUCGGCCGGCGCUGCCGCGCCGCGGGGGCAGCGGAGGAGGAGGGGCCCCGCCGAGUCGGAGAGGUAGCGGGAGUAGGCGGUGAGGAGGAAGGCGGCGCUGGAGACGUACUGGAGGUUGUUCCACUGGCGCACGUAGAGCAUCCCGCCGGGGCUCCGCUCCACAUUGUCGCUGCCGUUGCCGUUGCCGCCGUUCAGGCCCAGGCACGCGCACAGGUAGUGCUCCGCCUUCGCCUUGUACUGCUCCAGCACCGCCCGGUGCGGCAGGGCAUGCGGGUCGCCCUCCAGCAGCAGCUGUUGUUGGAUCAGAGUAGAAACCAAAAACUCGUUCAUCAAUCUUUACAUUCUUACAUUACUGCUAGGUAGGUAACUCAGUAACACGACUCAAUCGUGACACAGAAAUGCAAUGCAAGUAUGCAACACCAUGCAUGGGCGGCAUCAAUGUCAGCAGGACGCAUGCAGCACGACGGUGCCCAUGUGUCCGAACUGUAUCGAUUGACCAAAUGUCAAAUCAACACCGACAGCGCAACCCCAACCAUCAAUCGAUCUUUUUCAGUCUGAUUCAGGCGUUAAUCGUGUUAAAAACCGAAUCAAAAUCGUGCAAAUGCUAGGUUUCAGGCUGCCGCUGUGUAAACUUUGCAUUGAAAGGGCCUGAACGGCAUUCAGAAGAGAAUCAGAGAUACUGCAGCAGCAGCAGACAGUAGCAAUCAAGCAACUGCUCGCAAGCAAGAACUGCGAUCCAGCUCGAUAAUUCCGAUCGAACAGGCGAACCCGAUCCCGCGGCGAUCUCCGAUCCACUGAUUCGGCCGGCGCAGGGAUGCUGUCGGUGCGCGAGGCGACGGGCCACAUGCACGGUGGCCCGACUCGCUCGGUCGCCGUCGCUUUCCGCCGCGGUGCAAUGCAACCUCUGAGUCUCUGACUCACCAUCCUCCCUAGUCUCAUGGGAUGGGACUGCUGCCACGCGCUCUGCUCGCCGACCGGUGGGGCCCUGUGGUGGUGGGACUGCUGCCGUACCGGCGCGGCCAGCAGCGGCCACGUCGCUGCCCCGAUUUAAAGCUCGGGAGGGAGAUCCCGCCCCGCCAGCUUUUGGCCCAAAAUGAAUCCGAGCUUGGAAUAAUAAAUGCGAGAUAUUCCAUUUUUAUUACUAAUAUUUAUAUCUAUAUAAGACGUGCAUGUAUUUCAAGAUUUAUAAAUAUUAUUAUUUUUAUCAACAAUUACGUAAUAAGUUUUUAAAAAAUCGUUUGGUUGACAUUCAAAACUACUACUCCCUCCGUUCCAAAUUAUACUCCCUCCGUUCCAAAUUAUAGUUCGUUUUAACUUUUCUAGAUACAUAGAUAUUAUUAUGCAUCUAGACAUAGGGUAUAUCUAAGUGCAUAACAAAGUCUAUGAAUCUAAUAAAGUUAAAACGACCUAUAAUUUGGGACGGAGGGAGUACUUAUGUGAUUUUAUUGCUACAAGCAUUGCACUCCAUGUCAAGUCAAUUCACACUUCUUUUUAAAGGAAAAGUCAAUCCACACUUUAUAUAUAUUUUUUUGGAAUAGAGGGAGUAUCAAGGUUAACGGAUGGGCUUGCAAAUAUGAAGCAACCUAUAGUGUGUAGUAGCACUUAGGUUUAGACAAAUCAGUACAAGUCAUACUAGGCUAUGGAACCCUAAAUACAUCUUAGCUACCCCUGAUAGAGCCACGGAAGCUUCUUGCGAGAAAUAAUGCUCGGGCACACGUCAAGACUCUGGAGAUAAACGUGGACGUCACUACCAGUGGAGCGCGCGAAAAUAAAGGUGACAGAGAGAUCGUCAGCUAGCUGCCUAGCUGUAUUCCAUGAACGUUCACUUCAGAAACUGGAUAUUUUGUUCCGUUUUCUUCUUCUGGGCAUCACCAAUUAAUUUGCAUGUGUUUGGGAUCGUUGACACGGCAACAGAAGAGCCCAAGCUAAAGAAUGGUAUUAGCCCAACAGUCACUUUGAUAGCGACAUUUGCUUGGACGGGUCGGAUUAUUUGCGGUUAAUUCGUACUGCUCCUACCAUGGAUCCCUGAUUGCUUGCAGAUGAAUCCCACUACAAACUUUGGUUGUGGUUAAGUACGUUGUGGAAAUAUAAUAGAUAAAAAUAUUGCUACGCCUCUUGUUUUGUUUCUUCACGGCAUUUAGCAGCGAAAAUUUCAGCUAUAUAUGUCAUAUGUGCAGCUGUCAGAGUGACUGUGCAAGGAACGGCUCCUAUGAGGCUAUGUGCACCCAAUUUCUUUACAAAAAAAAUACCAGAAAUAUAUAAGAAGAGGUGAAAACCAGCAGUUGAUGUGUAUUUUGAGCAUAUUGUCGGUCAAGUCCAAACAAAAUAUCAACAUCUGUUGUUCGCAGUUUGUUUUUAAAUGCCAAUAUCGAGAACAUACAAGUUGGCCAUGAAUGAAAACAUUCCAAGAAUUCGGCAUUUAAAAAUCUUUUUUUCCUACUUUUCUAUAUCAUACCACAAUUCGGAAGUUGGUAUAUUUUGAGCAUGUAUUGUCCAUCAAGUCCAAACUAAAAUGUCAACAUCUGGUAUUAGUUGAUAUUUUUUAAAAAAAAAUAAAUGCCAAUAUCUACACAAGCUGGCCAUGAAUUAAAACCUUCAAAUUAAAGAAACCAGCAUUUUAAGCCUUCAAAGAAACUAGCAUUUCAUAUAAAUAUUUCACUGAAAAUUAGUGGCUACUAUAUAAUAAUUACCAGUAGUACCAAACUUUUUUUUUUGCGGAUACCAGUAGUACCAAACUAACACAUAAUUUUUUUGUAGAGUUUUGUCUGGAAGCUUCCAGUUUUCAUUCGACGGUAAUGCGCAGGUAACAUUCAAUAACCAUGCACGUUCCGCAUGUAAGGUUAUCAUCACACAUUAGUUUGAUUAGCACUACUAUCUAGUUUUCUUUUGACCAGAAAGCGCUUUACGUGCGAUCUUUCCACUUGAACUCGGUGUGCAUGUAUGUGUUGAGAAUUACCACGAUCUAUUCCGUGAAGAACAGGCUAGCUAGCUGUCCAUACAGUGACUGCACCGGAAAGCAAUGGUUCUGGAGUCCGGACCCAAAGCGCAUGGAGCGCGCGUACAAGUGCAUCACUAUCUACCAGUUCUUCGACAGCGAGGCCGAAAAAAAAAAGGCGAUCCAGGUCACCCGUCCACGUCGGACGCCCGUCGCGACAUGUGGAAUUUCCGCGUCGGCAUACAAGCUUACAGCGAUCGACCUCGCUAGCUAGCUCUACGCCUAGCUACGUCGCGCAACCGGCCGGGACUGCGACGAGCACGACGCGCAUAUCGUUCUCGAUCGGGGCCGGGGGGUCCGGCCCGUCGCGCCAAGUCAUGGCGUCAUGGAGGAGGAGAAGAUCGAGCACAAAACUUGACGCGAAAAUGGGCAGGCACGCCGAGAAGGCCAGGCCAUCUAAAGCCAUGCACGGCUACGUUUCGUCAGCUUCCAUCCGGAUCCUUUAACUAGGUGCCGAUGCUCGAAGCGAACCCCCACCUGACCCACCC
rnacentral:lncRNA from 1 species